CCCCAGAUAUGGAAUCCCAGGCAGGGCUAAAUCUUUCAUAAGGAUAUUUCAAAAUAACAGGAAGAACAGGAGCUUUUGCCAAAAAUGCACCGGUUUUAAAUGGAAGUAUAUAAUCCCCAUUUGUAGUUGUUCCUUCUGUAUAAACAAAAACAAAGAUAAUUAAACUAAAUUAGAUACAGGUGGGUGGGAUCAAAAAUUAAUAAUUUUGCAGCUAACAUGUGAAUAAAAAAAACCCUACAUUUCAGAAAUACAAAAGAAAUUAUACACCUCAACACAAGUAUUUUUAGCAUUUAAAGAAGAAGGAUUUUACUUGAUAGAAAUUUGUAUAUAAAAUAAUAACCUGGAAAAAGCAUCAUCAUGGGUGCAGAUUUAUUUUCGUGGGCUUCCUGAAUUCUCUCGUUCACCACAGCUGGAAGCAACAAAGUUAAAAAAAUGAAACAGAAAUUACAUUUAAGAAAAAAUGUAGAAAAAGAGAAGACACACACACACACACACACAUAUAUAUAUAUANGAAAAUCAUGAAAUAUAUUUUGAUCAUUGAUACAAUCCCAAGAAAUAUACAAUACAGUUGUCAUCAAACAUUUAAAUAUACCUGAAACGCCCUUUGUAUUUGAUGAUUUUGACUCCCGCUGGACAUAUACACAACCAAGACAUUGGCUGAAAAAACAAAAAAUUGUAAUUAUAAAGCAAUGGAUAACAAAUGUAUAAACUAUAAAAGAAUAAUACAAGAAGAUAGAAAACAAGACUUCAUAAGUGUCUUUCUGAUCUAUGAAUGUAGAUUUUGCUGAAUUUUAUCUUCAGCAUUGAAGGGAUGUUUUUUUUAACAGAUAACAAAUGAAAAUAUGGAUGUGAUUCAAACCAACCUUAUAAGGCCAACCAGAGGAAGCUUGCCCACUGAUCUCUUCAUCAAUGAUAAGAAACAAACCAAACAUUCAGUUUAUAUUACCACAAACUUAAAUGGAUUUAAACUUUUUGGAUCUAAAAAAUCAAAAAGUAGACAAACCUUGGCAACAAAACUUGGAAAUGAGGAAGACAUAUGGUACAAAAUAUCCAAAUGUGAAACAUGGUUUGAUAUGAUUACUCCAGGUCGUUCAUCUUCUUCCUCAGAUUGCUCAUUCAAAUCCACCUGACCAUUGAAAGUAAUCAAGGUAAUCAAAUGCUGGUUUGAACUUUGAACUACAAAUACUACUAGUUUUGCAAAAGAAAUAAUAAUAUCAUGUUUACACUAUAACUGUUAGAUACUGUCAGUAAGCACAUACAAUAAAGAAUCUUGACACAUAAAGUGCCCUUGCUAAUGAUGUUCCUAAUACAGGAAUGAAUGAUAGAAAUCAUGAACUCGAAAAGCCACUUUUGAUAGGGACUUCUAUGACUCAAUUUGCAUAUCCCUAAAUUACCUUAAGAAGCAAUUAACAAAGAUAGUAAACUGGAAGCACAUGGUUUACUGCAUACUAUAUACAUACACCAGAAAUUAAGCUACCUCAUUGUCGAUACUUCCAUUGAUUUUUGGAUUCCUGCAAGUCUCCUGAAUCCAAUAAAAUCCGAAUGCGAAAAGCAUAAUCCUAGAAAGAACCCUUCCAGACCAAUAGAGAACAGUUCUCCUCCACCCACCCAUGUGAGCGUAAUCCUCCUGUUCGUCUUCCCGAUUUGGUGCCAUAAACAGAGUACACAUCCUACAGAUCAAGUAAUACAGCACAACCACCGUCGUCGCCAACACCACCCGCAGAGGGAGGAGCGUAACGAGCGCAAUUCCUAACAAAACCUUCUCCGGCCAGGGUAGCUCUCCACACCCCAUGGUGCCAUACACAUCGUGUCGGACAUACGCGGCGUAUUUCUUCUCGAGCUCUUCGAUGCUGGGGCGGGGUGUGGAGGAGUCAGAUUUGUCGUCAUCGGUUGUGGUGGUGGUGGUGGUGGCGGCGGUGGGGCUGAGGAGGGGGAGAUCGUCAUUAUCAGAAGCGUCUUCGAGAUUGGGUUGAGAAGUGGGAGAUUGGGGUUUUGAAGAUAAGUCUUUGAGCUGUGAAUCCAUUUAAGAUGCGAGGGCUGAUCUUGCUGGAUUUGAUGUUGAUUGUUUGUAUUUCAUAGAAAUGCGGAAGAGUGACAGUAGACGUGAAGAUCGAUGGUGGUGCCGGAUGUAGGUGGUGGAGCUGGUUAGAUAUAACCCAAAUACGAGAAGAGAAGUCCCCACCGCGAUCACAAGAACUGAAGAAAGAGACUCCCAAUCUCAAUCUCAAUCUCAAUUAUUAUCUUAAAUCUAUUUAAAACUAAAAACAGAAUACCAUUCUCAAGCUUUUUAUUAUUUUUAUUUAUGGAAAAAGCGAAAAUUAGUAUUAUUUUAUUAUUUUUUUUUAAAGAUCAAGUCAUAAAUGGAUCAAGAAUAUGAGUCUGUUAUAUUAUCUACAAAUACAAUAUAUAAUUUUUUUAGUUUUAAUUUAUACAUCAUUUAGUUUAACUAAUGUUUACUUAUUUGUAAAAUAAAAAAAAAAAAAAUAAACAUAAUAAUCAUGUUAAACUUAAUAAAGCUUUUAGAUAAAGUUGUAACAAAGAUAUAUACUUUUUAGUUAUUAUCAAAAAAUAAAAAAGUUAUAUCGAUAAAAAUCAUGAAAUUCUAAAACGAAGUAAAUCAUGCAAUUUAUUUAUAUAAUAAAAUGGAUGAUAUGUAAUUUUUUUAUUGCAUUAUAUGGUGGAAUGGAAUUAAAUAAUGGAUAUCAGCAAUACAAUAAAAUUUUAAAAUUAUCUAAUUAAAAUUAUUAGAUAAAUUGAAGACUUUUUUGUUCCGUAUAUAUCGGAUAUCGGAUAUUACCCAAUACUUAAUUAUAUUCUUAAGUUUUGAUUUUAUAAAAUCGAAGAAAAACUAAUAAUCCUAUAACUUCGUCCUUAAGAACGAUUUGAUAACUAUAAGAAAAAUUCUGUCGAUAUUAUAAAACUUUUUCUUCCUUUAUCACUAAAAUCAUAUGGAAAUUCUGGAUGAACAUAAAAACAUUUUCGACCACUUUCUUUCGUUUCCCAUGUUUUCAUUCCUUGAAAAGUAAUUAGAGUACCCCUUUUCUUUUCUUUUCUUUUUUUCUUCAAAAUAUUUGAGAAUAAAAUUUUCGUUCUAAGAAUUCGAAGGAUGGUAGUAACAAUGGUUCUAGAAGAAAAUACUUGGGCAUGGCAUUUGAAUUUAGUUAUUUAACUUACUAUGGUUUCACAUGGGGAAGGUAAUCAUGAAUGGAUCUUACAUUGGUUGUGUAAAGCUGAUCCCAAAGCCCUAUAAUGGUGGUAUAGGAUCAAAGUCCUAUAAUGGUGGUAUUGAGUUAGCCGGGUCACACCAUCCCAAAGUCCCAUGAAAUAGCAGGUUGCUUACGUCAUAAAAACUGUAUUCAGAUUUUAUCUAUUGACUCUCCGCUAUGAGUCUUAGCAUAGCUUUCUAUGAUUCAUAUAUGUACCUAGAAUACAUGACAUUUAAAUGAACGAAGUAUGUAAGACAAUCAUUGUCUCGUGAGCUACAUUUGUUUAGACACAUAAUUAUUAGCAAAAUCAUUUGAUAAAACUGUAAUUUGACAUUUAUAAACGAGACCAUGUUAUGCAAGUCCUCACUCAAUGCAAAUCUUUUUGGGCCUUCCCGAGCCUCGGCUACUUGUUGAAUCUAAUGUACAUAAGGGUUGCCCCAAAUUGGGCGGGUCAAAUAAAGUGACAAUGAUAUACACCCCUAAUUGGAUUGGUUAAAUAAAGUGACAAAUAAUUACCGGAGAACAAUCAUCCGAUCAAUGCCCUGCAAUUGGUCCCCAUGCAGACCUUAGGUCUAGCCGACACUUUCUCAUUAAUAUGUAAUUCGUUCAUAUGAUGCAUGACCACCAUUUUCCUGACUCAAUCUCACACAAAUGAUUGUUGUUAUGCUCAAGCACUUUCAAUAAUAACAUUGCAUAGUAAUAUAUUCAAACAUAUUGUGACUGUAAAAUACAAUUCUUUAAUACUCUUUCAAUAAUUCAUGUAACAAAUCGUAUCUAGAUAACCAUUACUCAUGAAAGAGUUUAUUUGUUCGAUAACAUUUGUCUUUCAAAACCUUUAGCUUACCCAUUAGAAAAAAGAGUUCAUUUACUUGCUUGCUAGGAUUUAUUACCUUUUCAACAAAAAAAAAUCAAAUCACUUUCAAGCAUCUCACUAAAAACUUUACUAAUAUGCCAUGUACCUAGAGAAAUUUCACAUGUACUCACAUGACUCGUUAGUAAAAACUAAUUUCCGUUCUGACAUCUAGCUUGGUGCUAUCUCUUAGCUCAAUCACUUGUCCAAACCUAAUUGGAUAAACACUAAGCUCCCUAAGACUGUUACUAAACGGCUUAAUGUCGUUAAGCCGAUAAUCCAAUAUUGCAAACCGGACAAUCCUGUAAACUUGGGUUUAAAACUCUCAUUAUCCAAAGCGAGAGUUCCACCAUGGAAACCCUCUAUCAAUCCCAGUUCAUACCAAUAUCGUGUUACGAAUUUCAAAUAUUAUAUCGGGUUUCAACCCUUUACGACCCGACUUACUUAACUACAGUUACGUAUUAACAAAUCAAGAGGAUACCUUAACUUAAAUGACAUUCAUACCCUUGCUAAACAACCUCACGACCUUUGUCUCUAAGUUGUAAUCGUCGUCCACCAACUUUUAUCUUAACUCUUGUAUACUUACGUUAAAACGUACAUCCAAAGGCUACAAGAUGUUGCUUAAGUGCUCGCAACACUCAUUUCUAAGCUAUAUCCAUAAUCGUCCAGCACAUCUACAUGAAUCCAAAUUUUUUGGUAACAAAUCAAUUGCUUUUCAAAUUUUGAAAAAACAAUAAUUAUAUCCUAAUUUAUUUCCGACAUCUUUGUUAUAUAUCAAUUCAAAAAUUCAAUUAAGUAUGUCAUGUUUUUAAAUCAUGAUUACUUACGAUUGAUGAUCAGAUGAAUUUUUUUACUGUUAUUAUUUUUUUUGUUUAUAUAAAAAUAUUAAUUAUACCGACCAUGGUUUCAUGGUUUUUAACACAAUAUCUAUGUAAACAAUAUUCUAAAGUUAUUAAUAUGAUCGGUGAAAAAUAAAAUUUUAUAAUUAGUUUUAUAUAUAUAUGGGAUGAGCAGUUUGUCCCAAAUCCCGAUCCCGUAUUGGUACCGUACCGGAACUGAUACCGAACCGUACCGAAUUUGAAAAUAUGGGACGGUACUCGGUGCUCCAAAUACAUGAAAUUCGGGAUUCGGUACCACCGAUACCGGUACUAGUAUCGAAAACCGGUGCAAUUUCCGGUACCGGUGUCGGUGAUGUUAAUUCGGUUCGGUACUCGGGAUUGACUUUCGAUAAAAUUCGGUUUUCGGGAAAUCGGGAACGGCACAGGUCGGUACCGGUUCCAUCUCAUGCUUAGGUUAUUUUGUUUUUAUUAAGUAUUAUGUGACAGAAUGUACAGAUCUGGACCAACGGGUGAAAUUAAUCAAUGGACAUAAUUUAAGAGUGUAUGAUAUUACAAUGGGAUAACAUGUACCAUAUAAUCACACAUUUUUUAGCAAAAUGGUAUUUUGGACAAUUAACUACAUUUAUAAAAGGAAAAUUUCAGAUUUUUAGGGAUGAUUAAUUCUCUUAAUUUAAAAAAAAAUCUGAAUUUUUUAAUUAAUUCAAUUUCAAUUUUUACCGAUUUUAUUCUGUCAGAAUGUUUUUUGUUAGAAUAAUGAUCUUUCAGAAUUUUAUUCUAAUAGAAUAUUAUUGAAGAAAAACAAAAUUAUUGAAUCAGAUGUUGAAAAAUAACAAACAUUUCAAUAUAUUCUUAUACAUCCGAACUUAAAUACAAAUUCAUACAUAUUCUUACAGACUAAAAUCCUUAUACAUUUUAAUAUAAUUAUACAUAUUCUAAAAGAAUAUCAACAAAAAUGAUUAAAGUUCUUAAAAAAUAACAACAUUCUUAAAUUGUGAGUAUGAUCAAACUUUAUUCAUUCUUCAAGUUAUUCCUAUUAGGUCUUCAAUGCCUUCUUCCAGCCAUUCCUAUCAAAAAUACAAAAAAAAAAAAAAACAAUAAUUGUUAAAAACAUGUUACUUGCAACUAACUAUCACUUAAUAUAUUCUGGUUGAAUACAUAAAAUAUGACAGAAUACAUCGAUUUUAUUAUGGUAGAAUACAUUCUGAUAGAAUACAUAAAAUACAUAUAAAAGUAUUGUAUUUACUGCUAAUAUAAUUUUAGAUUUCAAAUAUACAAUAACGAGGGUAUGAAUAUUGGAUAUUUUCCACAUAUUGCUUAUUUAAUCAAGUGAUUAUAAAUGCUUUUGAGAAGACUUUUCUCAUUCAUACAAUGUUUAAGUUCUAAAUUGUCUCAAAUUUGUGAAAAUCUCUUAUAAACUGUUAAUCAAAUCUUCAUCCUAAAUUGAUUAAAAAAUCAAAUACCAAUAGCAAAGAUUGAUGUUACUCAGGUAAUUAACAAAUAAGGAGUUAAUAACAACAACAAAAAAAAACAUAUCAAAAGGUUUAAUGAAGAAAAUAAAAGAAAUACUCUUUCAGGCAAUUAACAAAUAAACAUACCACAUGUUAGAAGCAAGUAACACAAACAACCAAGUUAGAAUUACUUUUGUGUUCUUGAAGAAUUUGAACAUCAAAAUGUCCUUGAGGCAUUUCUACAAACACCUGGCAUGCAACACAUAAAUCAAAUUUUCUUUCAGGCCAUUGCUACAACAAAGCUGCCAAAUUCUCUUUGAGGCAUUUCUACAAAAAUCCAUCGAUUGUUAAUCAAAUGAACACCUAUGUAGUUCUGCCAAAUCAAACAAGAACAAAAAGAAAAGAAGGAGCCUUUACCUAUUGAUUGAAUCAUUGUUGCCCAGCUUCCUCCAUCACCGAUUCCACCCACCUGCCGAUUGCCACCACCCUAUACGACUUAUUGUCGCCUUACAACUCCCAAUUUGCAACCACCCUUGUGCCCUCACGAUUUCUGAACCACCAGACCACCAUUCGACUUCCAUCAAUCGCUUGAUGCCUUCUCGAUCUGAUGAAGACGACGAUGAGGACCGAAGUCCCUUUCUCAGCCCUCCUUGCGAAUCUGUUGACCCUCACUAGUGCCCUUGAUUUUUGAGGUUCCUUAUUCCCGAUCUGUUGAAGAAGACGCGUCACCAAAAAAAUAGGGUCGAUGAUUUGCAUUAGGGUUGUGGAUAUGAUGGUUUGAAAUAAGUCAAAUAAUAGUAGACGUGANCAUAUAUCCAAAGUGAUAAUUUAAUUAGGAUUAAAUUAAUCUACUAUCAUAAAACUUAUCCAAAAAUCAAAAUUUCAUAUGUUUUACUAAAAUACCCUUCUCAAAUUAAUAGUUAGGAAUAAGCCAUUUUAAUUAGGAUAUCAAGUUUUUAUAAUUCAAUUAUAUUUCUCCUCUUCUUCUCCAGCAUGUCGUUAUUCUCCUCUUCUUUUGCAAUCUUCAUGAGUUCAUAAUUGAAUUAUUCCUCUUGAUUUUCGGUGAUUGGUUGGUUUCUCUUGAAUUAUUCACUAGUAAUUUCAACAUUGAAUGUAAUUGUGAAUGUUAUUUAAGAGGAAAAUCAAUAUUAUCAUUAAUUUUUGUACCAUUAUUUAGAACCCUUAAUACGAGAAUCUAGUAGCUAUUUAAGAAGAAUUGGACAUUCAAGAUUCUUCAGUAUACAAUCCUUGUUCCUUUCUAUUACAUGCAAACUUUAAUGCCACAAUUUGAAACAAUUCCUAACUUUAAUACUUAACAGGAACUUUAAUGUAAUAAUUUGAAACGAUUCCUUCAAAUUUAAUGCCUUAAUCUAAUGAAUAAGAGAUAUAGCAAUGAAGAAAAGAAGCACAAGGUUUAGUCGACACUUUCAUACCUGCGAUAAGGAAGAAUUAGCGGCAUUAAGCUUUGAAAAUUUUAAUUACGGUUAAAAAUUUGGGAAGGGUAUUUUAGUACAAACAUACGGGAUUUUAAUUUUUGGAUAAGUUUUUUAAUAUUUGAUUAAUUUAAACCUACAUAAAUUAUCAUUUUGGAUAUAGGUGUGAGUUAUAUAGUUUGAGAAGGAUAUAUAUGUAAUUAUAAAAUUUAUAAGGAUAUAGAAGUAAUAUUUAAACUUUUUAAGGAUAUAAAUGAAAUUUUCUCAAAAUUGAAAAUAUAUAGUUGUUGUGAGUUGCAGCGUCGCUGGGGACAGGCCUCGUUGGCAGUAACGAUAUGUAGGAGAAAUGAUGGAUUUAUGUAUGGUACUCUAUAAUNAAUAUUAUUAUUAUUAUUAUUAUUAUUAUUAUUAUUAUUAUUAUUAUUAUUAUUAUUAUUAUUUAUUUAUUUAUUUUUUGCUUUAUUUAGUUAUCUUUGUUUUUGUGGUUUAAAAAUCUUUUAAUAUUUUGACGUUUUAUUUAAAUAUUUUUUAAUGUUUUUUUUAACAUUUUGUUCGUUUAAAUUAUGUAAUGAUUUUUUGACCUUUUUUCGAAUAAACAAAUUAAAACCAUAACCCAAACAUGUACAAAAAUUAUCGUCCGUUUAGUUAAACGAACGAACAUGAACAAUGGUCUCGUUCGUUCAUUUAUGUUUGUGAACGUUCGUUUAUGAUGUCCGUUUACGUUCAUUUAUGUUCGUUCGUUUAAUUUAUUUACAUUCAUUUAUAUUCAAUUUUUUUAUUAUAUUAACAUAUUAUAUGUUCGUUUAUGUUCAUAUACGUUUAAUUUGUGUUUGUUUAUCUUUUUCCGUUUAUAUUCGUUUAGUAUGUUCACGAGCAUAAACGAACGAACAUUAACAAGAUAAAAUAUUUGUUAAACGAACGAACACGAAAAAAAAUAUCGUUCGUUUAUCCGUUUGUGCUCAUUUGUUUGUUCGACUAACUUAAACGAAUGAACACAAAGAUAAACAAACACCGUUUGUUCGUUUGUUCGUUUGUUCGUUUGUUCGUUCGUAUUCGUUUAUUUGAUAAACAAACAGGUGGUGUUUGUGUAUCUUCGUGUUCGUUCAUUUAAGUUAGGUGAACAAACAAACAAAACGAAUAGAUAAACGAAUGGGAUUUUAUUUUUCAUAUUCGGUCGUUUAACAAAUUAUUUUGUUCAUGUUUGUUUGUUUAUGUUCAUAAACAUAAACGAACAAACAUAAACGGAAAAAGAUAAAUAAAGACAAUUGAACUAUAUGAACAUAAACGAACAUAUAAUAUGGUAAUAUAAUAAUAAAAAAAUUGAACAUAAAUGAAUAUAAAUAAAUUAAAUGAAUGAACAUAAAUAAAUGUAAACGGACAUUAAAACAAACGUUCACGAACAUAAAUGAAUGAACGAUAUCAUUGUUCAUGUUCGUUCGUUUAACUAAAUAAACGAUAAUUUUCGUUCAUGUUCAGGUUAUUGUUUUAAUUUGUUUAUUAGAAAAAAAAAGUCAAAAAAACCAGUAUAUAAUUUAAACGACUAAAACGUCAUAAAAAAAAAAAAAAAAAAAAAAAAAAAAAAAAANNNNNNNNNNNNNNNNNNNNNNNNNNNNNNNNNNNNNNNNNNNNNNNNNNNNNNNNNNNNNNNNNNNNNNNNNNNNNNNNNNNNNNNNNNNNNNNNNNNNNNNNNNNNNNNNNNNNNNNNNNNNNNNNNNNNNNNNNNNNNNNNNNNNNNNNNNNNNNNNNNNNNNNNNNNNNNNNNNNNNNNNNNNNNNNNNNNNNNNNNNNNNNNNNNNNNNNNNNNNNNNNNNNNNNNNNNNNNNNNNNNNNNNNNNNNNAUAUAUAUAGACCAAUGACGUAUAGUUAAUUUUCACAAACCAUAAGGAGGUAACCUAUCAAAUUUUAAACUCAUGGACCAAAACUGAUAAUUCAACCAAAUCAUAAGGAGCAUUUUUUUUAAUUUACUCUAAUUUAAAUAAUCAUAAAUUCUCAAACACUUAAAUUGUUGAUUUUUAUGUUGAGUACUAAUUCUAAUAAUGUUGUCACCACUAUCACCAUUUAUGGUGUCAAUGGAGACAAUGAGUCAAUGAUUAGUAGGGGUGGGGGAAUUUCAAUGUUAAUGUAGUUUAGGUGGGGGAGAGAUGACAUGAUGUUUCAUUGUGUCUCUACUGAUCUGAAAAAAUGGAUUUUUAAUUAGUUUGAGUUUUGAAGAGUUUGGAGUUUCUUCCCAUACUUCAUUACUUCUAUAAAGGACUAAAAUGAUAUUUUUCUCAAAUUUCUCAUUUAUUUUCCUUCCUCAUUCACGUUGGCCAACUACAAACAAGUCUAUGAUCAUGCAAUUACAACCACUCUUGCCCCUCACAAUCACACAAUCACCACCUUUAUGUGUUGUCCACAAAAACAACAUAUCAACCUACCUUAUUUCAUCAAUAUUGCAUCAUCAUUAUUUAUGCUUUUAUCAUCCAUCAAUGGUAUCACAUCAUCAUUUACCUCCUUGUAGUAAUCCCAACUAUUUUUUUAGGACUGCAUAUAUUUCAUAUAUAACAACUAGCAAGAUGUUUGAAAAACAAAAGUUACAAGAAGUAAAUAGCAAUAAUUUGGUUUUGAAGCCAACAAAAACAAUUAAUUUUCAGUUUAGAACUCCUUUUGGAGAACCAAAAGAAAACUUGAGAAACUAUGAAAUUCAUACAUUAGACAAUUAUAUCAUGUAAUCUCUGAAGAUCUCUAGCCUAUCACUAGCAUGCAUUUCUAUCAAAAUCAUCAAUAACAAAUAACAGUGUGGGAACUUAGGGUAUACUUUCUUGCUCCGACUUAUCAUACACAUCUCGUCCUUCCUUGAUUACUUUUGAAAACAAUUUUCGAAAAUCAUUUAGAAAACUUUUGUAGAUCCUUAGUUUGAGUCUGGAUUAGCACGAAUGCUCAUCCAAUUCUCUCAAACCAAGGCUCUAAUAUCAACUUGUAACAUCCUAAAAUCACAAUAAAAGUUUUCAUUUUCAAAUCAAAAGAAACCAUUGUUUUCAAACAAAACUCAUAACAAAACCAAGUAUAAAGUACAAAUAUCCCAAUAUCAGUGUAUCAUAAAUCUCCAAUAAUAUGUCAUAGAAGGAUGUGUACAAUCACGUCUUUGCCUUGCCACGAUCAUCUGAAGUACUUGAAACAAUAAAUUGAAUUUGUAAGCCAAAGCUUAGUGAGUUCCCCCAAAGUACAAUACACAACAUAUAUAGCAUAUACAAUCAUGCAUGCUAAGUCGAAUCAUUCAUCAGACUGGAAUACCUUCAGGUCCACAACCAUCGGGCUGGAUUACCCCGGCCCAAUCAGUCAUCGGACUGGUAUACCCUCGGGUCCACUGUCAUCGGGCUAGAUUACCCUCGGUCUGUUAGCUCACACACAUAGAAGUAAAGCAUCAACCACAAGCCAUAUUAUGUCUACAUAUGCAACAAAUAAACAUAUAAACAAUCAACAGGCAACAUACAGAUCUACAAAUCACUAACGCAUAACACAUCCUAUCUACCAUGAUAUAGAUCUAACAGAUCACUAUAGCAUAACAACAUCAUAUAUACAAGGAUACAGAUAUAACAUAUCACUACAUCAUAAUAACAUCCUAUAUAUACCAAGAUACAUAAACUAGUGGGCCGACAUUAGUGCCUUCGACCCAUAAGUAUAGGAACCUACUCAGAAUAUUAGCUCUAUCAGUCACUUUAUGGGAUGUAGGAGGGUGCAAAACUUCCAGAUCCAAGGUUGUUCCAAGCUUCCAAGAUAUUCUCCUUUCCUUCUCCUUCCUCUAUGAACACCAAAACACUCACUAAUGGCUCAAGGAUGCUAAAAAAUGGAUUAGGAUUAGCUAGGUCGAAUAUGGAAGUGGAGGGUGUAGAAUGAAGAGGUUCCAAAGAGUUAAGGAUGUUUAAAUAAGGUCCAAACCCUAAAAAUUAGGGGUUGACCCCUGCCCACGUACACCCAGCGUACACAUGCAACCUUCAUUUUUCAUUUAAAUGCCAAUUGGGACCAAAUUUGCAAACAAUUCUCAUACCAAUGGUCAAAAUGUAAAAUACAUGGAAAUCGAGAUGUUACAUGAUCGGUAGGGGGUAGAGGCUCGAAUCGUCGAUCGGUGGGGGGAUNGUAAAAUACAUGGAAAUCGAGAUGUUACAUGAUCGGUAGGGGGUAGAAGCUCGAAUCGUCGAUCGGUGGGGGGAGAUGGUCAAAUCGUUGAUCGUCGCUGAAAGAGAGAAGAAAUGGGGUUGGAGGCUCUGAAAAUUGGAACAAUAGGGCAUGGGCACUUUUGGAAACGUUAAUCCCUUUCUCAUUCAGUCGAUAUCUCUCAUCUUUUCCACUCAGGUUUAGUUUGCCGAGUAAGACACCAAAAAUCAGUGUAACAAACAACUUUAACGAGUCAGCAAAAAACGUUUAACCCGACUCGGUUAGAAGUAUAUCAAACAGAGCCUUAGUGUAUUUUGUAUUAUCAUUAUUUUUUCAUUAUAAUUAAAGUUUUAGNGAGGUACCAUGAGAUGUUGAGGAGUGAUAUCCAGCAGUUUGUAUGUCAGUCCAGUUACAAGACACUGGAGGAUAUUAUAGCGAGACACACACAGAGAGAGAGAGAAAGAGAGAGAGAGAGAGAGAGAGAGAGAGAGAGAGAGAGAGAGAAGUUUUUUUUAUAACCUAUAUUUAAGCAAGAACUUGAGAAUUUGUCCAUCGAGCCAACAGAAUUGGGACUAAACUUAAAUUUUGAAUUAUUUUUCGUACCAAGUGUAAAAAACAAGAUUUCGUAUCAUGUCGUGUAUAAAAUUUGAUACGAAAUUGAUAGGAUUUAAAAUCUUCUUGUCGUGUUUUGUCAUGUUAUGUAUAAUUAAGUAUUAAUUUAAUAAAUUAAUUGUUAUUUUAUGUUAUCUUUGUUGUGUCGUGUCGUGUUUAUCAUUUUUUAUUUGGUUCGUUUUUGUGUUAGUUAAAAAAAACGACAUCGUGUCAUGUUUGUGUUACAUAAAACUUUAUCAUGUCCUCUCAUACAAAAACACGACACGAUUACCCGAUUUAUCACCCUAUACAUCCUUAUUUUUGUAUGUGUACAUUUAUUUUUUUUACUUUUUUUUUCAAGUUUUUGGAUUGUGAUGUCCUAGACGAGGGUGUCUAGAUGCUUGUAGUGGUAUUUUUGGAUUAAAAGAAUUGUUCGGAAAAUUAGUUCGCAAGUGUUCAUGCAAAUAAAGACCAAAAAAAUGGUUUUCAAAAAGGAAAAUGAUUUAAUAGGGUAACUAUGUUUCCAAAUUAUUCAAAAAAAUAUCAUUCAUGUUUGGUAUGUUCUAAAAUAUCAUCUAAAUAAAGUUUUUAAAUACAGCAAACUACACAAUUUGUUCAAAUAUUACCUUAAGUAAAGGACAUUUGUAGAUGAUAAGAUAUUACCGAAAAAAAAAUUAAUCGAAGGAAGAAAACAAAGGAAAAUGAAUGGAUGAUGUUUUUUGAAUGAUUUUGACUCUUAAGUCAUUUUUUCAUGUUUUUUUCCCCAGAAAUAUCGGUUACCAUAGGAGGAUGUUUGAAUAAAAUAUGUAGUUUGUUGAUUUUUUUUAUAUAAAAACGUUAUUUAGAUAAUGUUUUUUGAAUAUACAAAACUUUGAAUGAUAUUUUUUAAUGAUUUUAAAAAUAGUUACCUUCUAGGUCAUUUGCCAUUUUCAAAACAGAUUACUUUAUAACUAAAAUCAGCUAAUAUUCUAGGAAAAACUCUAGAGCUUCUCGAAGUAACACAAUCCAUAUCACUCCUGGUGUAACUACCUGACUGAAUCAUAAACAUGGGUUUCUAUUUACUAAUAUGAUGAAAACAAAUAUAAAAAACCAAGAUCGAAUCAUAAUAUUUCCAUUCAUUUAAAUGGACUUGGAAAAGAAUCGAUAAUAUACCAACUUCUAAAUCCUGAAGAAAUGAACAUUCCACUAUAUUUGAGCAUUCCCACUUCCAAGGGUGAGCUCAAGAUCAUCAAAACCGACUUCAUGAAACCUCUCGCCUUUCCAUGCCUUCACCCCUUUACCCUUUUCAGCGAUCGCAUCAUUCAUAGCAGCCACUUGAGCCAUUGAUUUCACAAGAUUGGACGUUGGAGAGUUUGGGUUCACCAUCAUCGGAAUACAAUCCUGGAACCUCAACCUCUGAAACGAACCGCCGGUGGACCAAUCAGGCUCCUCACACUNNNNNNNNNNNNNNNNNNNNNNNNNNNNNNNNNNNNNNNNNNNNNNNNNNNNNNNNNNNNNNNNNNNNNNNNNNNNNNNNNNNNNNNNNNNNNNNNNNNNNNNNNNNNNNNNNNNNNNNNNNNNNNNNNNNNNNNNNNNNNNNNNNNNNNNNNNNNNNNNNNNNNNNNNNNNNNNNNNNNNNNNNNNNNNNNNNNNNNNNNNNNNNNNNNNNNNNNNNNNNNNNNNNNNNNNNNNNNNNNNNNNNNNNNNNNNNNNNNNNNNNNNNNNNNNNNNNNNNNNNNNNNNNNNNNNNNNNNNNNNNNNNNNNNNNNNNNNNNNNNNNNNNNNNNNNNNNNNNNNNNNNNNNNNNNNNNNNNNNNNNNNNNNNNNNNNNNNNNNNNNNNNNNNNNGAACCGCCGGUGGCUGGUUGGACUUGUGGGUACUGAAGAAGCGAAACAUGGUAGAUCAAAAGCUUCCCAAUUGAGAUUGUUUUUCUUCGGAACUUUUGGGGAUGAGAGUGGUGGGGUCACCGGAGCGCUGUUUGAGAUCCGGAGAGGUGGGAGUGAUGACGGAAUUGAGUUGCUUAGAAAAGCAAAAGGUUUAUUUAAUGGCGGAUCUGUAGAAUCGAGAUGCGAUGGGCUGGGGAAGGAAGAAGAUGAGAGGCUGCAUUGGUAUGAAGGGAACGACGAUGACGGUGGACUUGGUUUCCGAGAAGAACACGGAGUCGUGUUUGUUGAUGAGCCACCGUGUUCGAAGGCGGAGGGUGGCGGCUUGCAUCCCUGUAAUUUUGGAUAAAAAUCUGCAUCAUAAAUUUGUAAUAAAGAACUCUACCUUGCUGUUCCAUAAAGAUUUUGAACAACAAAUGGGCAAAUCCACAAUCGGAGAAAGAAAUCCCGAAUUUGAAUUACACCCACUUAUACGCUCAAAUUAAAACCAGGGAAGUUAAAUUAAUGAUACUGGAAAUUCGAUUACAGAGACGGAAUACCAGUUCAUAAACAUCUCGAUCUAAUUAAUCGUCAUAAAUGCAGACAGAUUAUACCUUACGAAAAGUGGUGCCAUCAGGAAGAACAACCCAACCAGCUUCUUUACAAAGAGCUUUUAAGACCUCGUUGUUAUCACAAUGUUUAGGCAAACUAUAAUUUCCUUGUGCCCUCAACCCAUUGUAUAUGUUUGCCGCAAUUGCCCUCCGCCGUCUCUCUCUCCUCCGGUUAUUCUCUUUCUCUCUCCAUGACGGCUUCCUCCUCCCUCCUCCACCCCCGCCGCCGCCGCUGCUACCUUCCUCCGUAACCGCAGAUGACGAUCCUCCUUCCCACAUCAUUUUUCUUUAAACAAAACCCACCUCUCAGAUUCUCUUAUGUGGGAUUUUGUGUUUCAACUGAUGAGAAUGGCGUUGUGAAAUGUGUGAAAUUUCACACACCCACGAUGAAUUCACCAGUCCCCCACCUUCUGUGUGUAUGUGUGUGUCUUUUGACGUAAAAGCGAUCAAAGUCUGAAAGUGGGCAAUAAUCAUGUGUCAAGGAACACGAGGAACUUGAUGGUAUGGGGCAAUGAGAUUCUCAGCGGUCGUUUGAUGGAUCUAUUGAAUGGUUAAGAUUGAAGUUAAAAAGCGGAAAUUUAUUGGACUAUCAUGUGGGUGCACACAUAUGAACAAAUUAAAAGCAAUGAUUGUUCGGAUAACAUGGACGGAAGUCGGAAGAUGUAUCUUUGCAACUUACAUUCUUUGUUUGGUUAUUUUUAUUGUAGCUCAACAAUGUUUUGUAUAUCGUUUUAAAUGGUUCCUCGUGAUUUUAUUUCUUUUUGCGUUUAAAGGGUACGAACUUGUGUCUUACCUGUUAAUUUCGUAUCUUUACCUAUUUUUGAAGGUUACAUUGUCUUUAUCACCUGCCAACUAAGCAGGUGAGUCAACAAUGACUCAUUAGUGAGUCGAUUCAUCGUUGCCACGUAAAUAAAAUCAACUAAGGAGGAAAAGGAUUGCACCUGCCAAAAAUCGGAAGUAAAAUCGAUUGGGGAGGAAAAGGAUUGAUCCUCGUCGUUCCAAGGGGAAAGAACGAUCGCAUAUGUGCGAUCGAUUGAAAAAGCGGGAAAUCAGGGUCUAGAAAUCGAUUAGUCAAAGGGGAACGAUCGUUGAUUGGCGAGAAGGAAGCACGUAGGUGCAUAGUCUGCUACUCCGGAUGCCUUGGCCGAUCGUAUGGUACACUGGGAAGAUUCGUCCCUCUCUCACUGCAAAUCACCAUUGUUAAAGAAGCAUCUCCCAAAACAUCACAGGAAUGGUCUCGAUCAAUGAAAACAAACACCCUCUCUUCCAGCUUCAUUGUCGGACCAGAAAAAAGAAACGAGGAGCUACCGACCACCAUGGCAGCCCCUCCCUUGGUGAACUCAAACAAUCACCGAACACCAAUUCCUUUGUGAGCUGCUCUUACUGCUUGGAUUUCAUCUGUAAUUGUGGCUGCCGACGAUGGAGUCAGGGAAGACCAAGUGGAUCAUCAGAAAAACGGGUUCUUUUUCCCCUCUCACUCUCCUCACGGUCGAUUAAGAACCACCGACCCAUCGAGUUGCUGAUUUCGUUUGUAUUCUUUCUUUCCCUGAUAUGCCUUCUGUUUCCCCUCUUACUCUUCAGUUUGUUCAAGCACAAGAGAUGCUUCCCUCUCCGAUUUCCCCUCCUAUUUGCUCGAUCGAACACCAAAUAACCCACCCUAAUUGUUGUUACUGAUGCUCUUAAUUCCUUCCAAAUUAUUGCUACCAGAGAUGAGAAGGAAACCUCGAAGAAUCUCCCCGGAAAACGACCUCGCCAUCCCCUUCAGUCGAACCCAAAACCGUGGUACAUUUUUUUAACUUUAAACCUGCUGACUAGGAAGGGGUUCACCGGGUGACCCCUUCAUUUUUUAAAAAGGACUUUUUAAACCCUAAAAACAUGAAUUCGUACCCUUUAAAUGCAAAAAAAAAAAGUCAUGAGGGACCAUUUAAAAAAAUAUACGAAACAUUGUUGGGCUACGUUGACAAUAAACCUUUUUUAUUUAAAGGUUAUAGUUAUUUAUUAGUCGAAACUGUAUCUCCUAAAAGAAUAUUGUUUGGGAAAAACUAAUUGAUCGAGUUUAAUGUAUCAUAGCUUAGCUCACAAAUGAUCAAACAAGCAUAGGCUCAAUAUAUCGCAAACUUCAUACAAGAUAAAAUACACUUUUCAAAACCCUUAGCCAAUAUUCUGUUAGAAAACAAUUUUAUUUUAAAGAUAGAGUUCAUGAUUUAACAUAACUAGGAAAGUAUCACCCCCGCGAUGCGGGGGUUAAUUGUUGUUACUUAUGUGUUUUGAUGUUCUCAUAUGAAUGUGUUUAACCGUGUUUCAUCUGAUAUUAGUCAAUCGUCCUGAUUUUUUUUUUGUAAAUUUUUUAUGCUUUUUUAUGUUAUCAUAUUUAUCUUUUUCUAGAAAAUGGGUAUUUUAUUAAUAAAAUGUAAUGCAUAUGAGCGUUUAUGAUUAAAUAUCAAUUUUAUAAAGUUUUUAUAGUUUUUAUGAGAAUAUUAACAUUUUCCAUUUUGUGACAUUAUCAUAUACAAAACCAUAAGAUUUAUAUAUAAUGAUUUAGAAAGGAAAAUACAUAAUUAUAAUUAUCUCAUUUUAAUAAUAUUAACCACUUGCCCAUCAUCAAAUGUGUUUCAAGUAUAGAAAAGAUAUCAAACUAUAAUUUCAAUAAAAAGAAUUACGAAUGAUAAUCAAAAGAAGCCCUAAAUUAUUCGUCUUUAAGGAGACACCCAAAUGAAAAGAGGAUCAAAUUUGUAGAAGAAAUCUGACUUUCAAUCAAAUGGGAGUAAUUACUAUAAAAACAUUAUUUCUGAAACAUAAUUAAUCAAAAUUCAUAAUUCAAAUCUACAAAUUCGACAUGGCAAACUAACACUCGAAUUAAAACAACAUAUAACUCUACUCAAGAGUUUAUUACGUAUGACGACAAUAUAUAUAGAUACCUUUCACCAAUCUAUUUGCCAUAUAUAAUUCAAAAUUGCAUAAACAAUUAUGUCAGGUAAGAGAGACAGGCUAUAAAAGGCUGUCAGGUAAGAACAUACAUUAAUUAUAGAAGAAUUGCAUCAUUAUAUCGGUUAUGAAAUAAUAAUAAGACAAAAUGAACAGGUGAAAAAAUGUCUUAUCUCUCCUUUCUGAAUCAAAAGUGAGCUAAAGAGUUGGAUGACACAGGAAUGGAAGUAUCAGAUUAUGAUAAAUUGAGUUGUCAGUGAUACCACAUCAUUCAUUUACCUGAAAAAAAAAAAACAGCAUAAACUGCAUGAGAACAGAGGAUUUUUUUUUCAAAUAUGUAUGUAUAAAAGAAACAAAAGUUUGAAGAAAAUUUCAUUUAUCACUGCUGAUAUUUCAAUUCAUUUAAUAUUGUAUAAAUAAGAUUAGAAAACAGGUCAUGUGCAUAAAUGUUUUAUAGAAAUAGUCCAUAUUUAAUUAAAAAAAAAACGGUCCAUAUGGAACAAAAACACCAUGAAUUUUCCCUGGAACUGGCAUUUAAUCAAACAUAGGAAACAAAUAAAUCGAAAAAAUACUAACAAUUAAAUGGUAUACAGUCAAACAGAGAACAAUUUAUGAGCACUUAUAUUUUUUUUUGCAUGUAAACACUGGGAUCUUAGAAAUGAUGAAAUGAGAUUUUGCUACCUGUUAUAAUAUAUGUGAAAAUGAGAAAUCAAUAGCGUUUUAGCCUUUAGGUGGUGAAUAAAUGAAAAUAAAUAGUAAGCAAUAGAGAAUUAGUUUUCAAAGAUUAAUUUGUCAUUACCUACAUAUAAGUAGAUUUUGUUGUUCUUCUAGAAAAGCAGACAUCAGAUUUUUUGAAAAUAUAGACCUAUUGUAUGAAACUAUUUAAUAAAGUUUGUUGUUUGUAAGGUUUUAAUGGAAUUAGAUUCAAAAAUCAUAAUUUCUUCUGUAUUAGUUGGAAUACAUGCAUAACCACCAACAUGAAGACUUAUAUAUAUAUAUAUAUAUAUAAACCAAUCCACUUUAACAAAAGGGUAUUUUAGUCUUUCUUGUAAGAUAGAUAGAAAGAGAUUGACCGUAAAAUGGAUAAGAUAUCUUUUGGAUGUGGUGAUCUGACUAAAAUUUGUAUACUCCGACAAAUUUUCACGUUUCUUUGAUUGAUUAACCACGAACUUGACAAUUUAACGAACAUCCCUCGAGACCUAAGGCUUUAUGACAAUAUACUUUUCUUUGUUAAAAGUGUGAACAUAUGAAAAUACUUUCACAAAGACUUGGGGGCUGUUUCGUCUUUACUUAAUAGGUUAACCUAAAAAAAAGAACAUAACUUAAUACAUUCAGACACUAUGCAUUUACUAAUUUUCCUGACUUAUAGUGCAAUGUAUGGGUAAAAUGGUCAUUUAAUCUCAUUAAGACAGUUUAUCGGUCAAGAAAAAAAUGGACCUUAUAUGUAUAUAACAUUUUAUCCACACAUAUAUCACUACCCAUUUGGCGAUCUAUUUUAGGCUUACCUUUCUAGAAGUUAUAUUAGAACUUCAAAACCAUCGUCCGCAUCAAGGGGAGUAAGUUCAAAAACACCUUGACUAAUGAUAGCAGCCAUUUUGACUCCAAAUUUGGACAUUUUUCCAAAAAAUAGAAAUCAAUGAGGUUGUUAUAGUAUUCAAUGCGUUGUGGAUUCGGUUUGCCUGUUCCAUCUGUUAUAACAUGAAAAUACAUGUUAGUUUAUUUGCCACUUUCAAAGAAAUCAACAGUAUACCAUAUUAUCAUAUAUUCAUUAAGGUGGUUAGUAAAUUUACUUAUGAAUAUUCUUCACCGUGAUAUUCAGAAUAUAUAAACAUCAUAUAUCAGAAAAAACCCAUUGAGGCAUUUUGUCAAACACCUUAUAUGCACUGAGCAUCUUUAUAAAGAAAAUACCAUAUUACCAAGUAGAAAAACCAUUUUGUUUUCAUAUGAUGUUUCUAGAUUUAGUCAUGAUCAUUUCAUUCCAAAGUUUUCAUGUACAAAUCAUAUUCUUAUAUAAGUUUCACUACUAGAAAAAAGGCCUUUUACGACGCUCAUUGCGCGUCGUAAAACACUCAGACGACGCGCAAAUGCGUGUCAAGGAAGACCCUGUCAUAAAGAGAGACGACGCGCAUUUACGACGCGCAUUUAUGACGCGCAUUUACGACGCGCGGUUAUGACACGCAAUGCGUAUCAAGGAAGGCCCUGUCAUAAAGGAAGACGACACGCAUUUGCGUGUCGUAACCUUACGACGCGCGUGUUUAUGACACGCAAUGCGUAUCAAGGAAGCCCCUGUCAAGAAAGGCCAUGUCAUAAAUGAAGAUGACACACAUUUUUGCGUAUCAUAAUUUUAAAUGUUUAAAAAAAUAUUAUUUAUAGAUUUGCUUAUUUUCAAAUUAAAUUUGUAUUUAAUGUUUAAUAAUAGAUAAUAAAAUAUCAUAUACAAAAAUAGAAUCCAUUGCAUAAAUUUAAUGUCAUACAAAUAAUCAUUCUAUGGAAAGAUAAAACAAAUUAAUAGAAGUUGUAACAAAAAUUUACAAACAAAUGGUAGCAAAUAUGUUAUCAAAAUUCCUACAUUAAUUAGUGCUAAGCUCUGAUCCUCCGGUUGAAUUCUGCAGUCAGGAAAUGAUUAAGACAAGUACACAUUAUUAUAAAGUUCAUUUAUGAUCCUCAAAUAAAAAAUAAAGCAACUACAUAUAUUAUUGGCCAUGAGAGAAGUAACCUUAUAAUAGAUCUCAAGAAGCACAUUGUUGCGAGCUGCCUGCAGAAAACCAUGGCAGACAUAAAGACAUGAGCAUGAGCUUUGUUGUUGCUUUUAUAAAAAAUGAACUUAUUCUAUAGGUUAUAAGAUAUAGUAUAAAUUUUUAACUUUUAAGCAUUUUAUAGCUAGCAUAAAGUAGAAUUUGGAAUCAUUAAGAAUAUAAUGAGUACUUUGUUGUUGGAAGAAGCCUAACCGUUGCAUAAUAUUUUGACUCAAAAAGGAAAAUGUGGCAAAUUUACCUGUACAAAGCUAGAGACAGAAAGAAGUGGCUUCUCUCCAAUCUUCUGAUUUCUAGCCUGAAAAUUAACAAAGAAUUUAGCAACUUGUAAGGAAUAAGGGAAAAAAGUACUACACUAAGUUCAGAACUUAAAAAUCAAUUAAGAUAACAUGCAAAUAAUGAAAGCAGAAUACCUAAUAACUAGGCCAACAAGUUAGCAUCAUAUAUAUUCAGGUGUAAACAGAUGAAAGAUAAGUUUAGGUCACACAAAAGUUUUCCAAAACAAAAGCAGAAGAUAAAUAUAAUAAAAUUAAGAAAUGAAGAACAUACAUGUAUUAGAAGCAUGACAAGUGCAAAGAUAACUUUUGCAACUUCUGUCAGAAAGUUAACACUGAUGGGGCUAAAAUUGAAUCUCCCAUCAACCUUGGACAUGUACACCAAAAUCGGCUGUAAAAGAUGAUCAAUUUAGUGAGGUAUUGAUCAAUUAUGUAACAUGGAAACAGUACACAACUAACUAUACCUAAAUAUUAUCCGGUCAACGAUGCAUGGAAUUUAAAGAGUUGUUUAUGUUAUGUGAAAGAUAUGUACUAUAAAUAGAUACACAAAACACGUUCUUUAUCUUGUCUUCUGGGAUAAAGAACAUUUUGCCCUUAUUUUGAGUUAUCUAUUAUUCUCUUAUUGUAAUUAUGUAUUAUAUACCCUUGUUCAGAAAUAAGGUUAUUUUGAUCAUUUUUAAAUAUGACCUAAAAUAUUACUCUUGUUCAAAACAUGUUAUUUAAAGCAAGAAUGAAAUUAACCUAAUUUAUCAUGUCACCGAGAUAAAACUAGAGAGAAGAAAUGACGAAAAUACACUUGUGUGCAUAACAAGAGCAGUAUCAACCUAAUUUAUUUUGGGUGGAACGUGAAUAGGGGGUGGACCAGGAAAAGGGUUAGCAUGGGGAUGCGAUUUAAGUUAUGAUUAUGUCAAAAUUAAUUAUGCAACCCCUUUAGGCCCGGACAAUCUUGAUAAAUGUUGGUCAAGCAAAUGCAGCCACUGUAAUUUUUUACUUAAUUUUUUUGUUACCCGUGAUGUAAAAUGACGUAAAUGAACACAAUGAGGUUUACACUUUACAUACAUUGGAAAGGGCAUAUGAGCAGUCUAUUACAUCUUGGUAACCUGCAUCCCCCUGUAAGGGCAUAUACAUCAUUUUACAUCAUGGGUAACAAAAAGUUAAGUAAAAAAUUACCGUGGCUGCAUUUGCUUGACCAGCAUUUAUCAAGACUGCCCGGGCCUAAAGAGGUUGCAUAAUUAAUCUUGACAUAAUCAUAACUUAAAUCACAUCCCCAUGCUAACCCUGUUCCUGGUCCAUCCCCUGUUCACGUUCCACCCAAAAUAAACAAAUAAAUAACACAAGUUUCUUUUUUAUUUAAUGCAGAAAGAAUGACUUAAUAAUAAAGUUACCUAUGGAUAUUUGAAUUUUGACAGUGCCAUGAGCAUCACCAGCCUCUUUCAGGUAAUUACUAGCUGCUGCCCUGGAACACUCCCGCAUUUUCAGUAUUUCAAUUAUCAUGUAUCAUGUAUCAUGUAUGGUGUUACUGUUACCUAUCAAAUGGAAGUGGCUGGCCUCCUUCCAUAAGUAGAAUAUCUCCAAGUGCUAUUCUAAGGGCAUUUGAGUCAAAAAAAAAUCCCCACACACCCUGCAGCACAGGCUAUCCGCCCCCAAUUUGGAUCCCUACCAUAAAUUACCACCUGAUAAAACCAACCAUAAAAAAUCAUCAUUAUAUCAUUGGAAGUAGUUAUUUCACCUUGAAAUAACAACAUAUUAACCAUCAUGCAUUGGUAAGUGAAGAAGAUGCCACUGAACGUGCAAUCUUUGCUGCUUCACUUUCACUCCCUGCACCACUUACUGUCACCUGCAUAAUUUCUCAUUUCCAUAAAUACCCUUCUGCCCUCCCCCCCCCCCCCCAAAAAAAAAAAAAAAAAAAAAAAAAAAAAAAACAGAUCUCUAUCAAACAUGUUGCCCCUUCUCCAUCCUAUGCUAUUGAUUUGGCAAGCCCUUACAUUACCUUAACAAAAAAAAACACUUGUAAAAUGCAUGUAACAACAAAAGGGUAAAUUGGUAAUUUAAACAUACCGCAUCAACCACAUUUGUAGUUGGUUUCCUUCAGAACUGUGUAAUGAUGAUAUCCUGUUUGAUCCAGAUAAACCACUAGCCAAAGCAAUAAUGGUAUCAUUGGUGCUAGUAUCCCCAUCUACCUGCAAUAUUUUAGUUAUUAAUACACACAUGUCACUGUUGGUUAAACGACUAAAAUACCCUUUAAUGAUGCUACUACUUAUAGUAAUUUGGUUGAAACUUCGAUUCACAGCAACCUGAACCAUCUUUCGCUAGAUGUCAGUAUCUACACGAGCAUCAGCCAUUAUAACCUGAAAAUUGACAUUUUUUUUGAAUCAAUUAAAAUUUUUUUACAAAACAUUUUGUGGUAAUAAAUUAAUAAUAUGGCAAUAUUAGUACAUACACCAAGAAGUGUUCCCAUGUUUGGGUGGAUCAUUCCGGAACCUUUUUCCAUUCCUUCGAUUCUUAUACCGCUUCCACCAACCUUAAAAAAAUAACUUUUUUUAAUAAACGAUAAUAAAUGAAAUAAAAAAAAGUAAGCAAAUAAAUAUAAAUAUGAUACCUCAAACUCUACUGCUACACUCUUGCUCACAAUAUCAGCUGUUGUUAUUGCUACAUCUGGUGCAUCUAUCUCCUCUAACCAUGCAUAUUCAUCUUCUUUUCCAUCAAUCAACUCAUCUCCACUUCCUGUCAUUCCAAUAAAGAAUACAACAACCUUUACAAAUUCACAAAAUCAGGUAACAGAUUAUGCUCAACUUACCAAAACUGGAGUAGGGGUAAUCUCGGUAAUAAGUACAUUUUCUUCCAGAAUAUUCUUCAUACAGAGGUGUGAGAAUGUCAAGUACAGCACAAGAGGUUAUGGCAGUGAAGCAAUGGAGGUUCCCUCCUGUUUCUGGAUACAAAACUGAAGUGCUACAUGGUGCUGGCAGGACUUUGUCCACUGACAACUUCGCUAACCUAACUACUACAUGAAUUCCAUCAACACUUUGCAUUUUUGCACUUAAAUUAAAUGUUUUAAAUAUAGGUACAGAGAUGAUUUUUUCUGUAGAGUUAAUUAUGUUUCUAAUCAUUAUGGAAGAACUAGAAUCAGACCUGGAGCUCGAGCAAUUCCCUUUGAAUCCUUGGUGAGUGGUGGUUCAACUCUGUUAUGUAGUAAGUAAGACAUGGAUUAAAUUAUAAAUUCUUGAUCAGUUACUCUCUCAAAUUGAUCAGUUAAUCUCUCAAAUCCUUGAUGAAUCCACUGCCUGGCGGUGUGUGAUUCGAGGCGACGAUGUGAUUAUCUUUCAACAGACGUUUCGACGUCCGAUUGACACGGGUGAGCUUCGGGAUCGACUUCUGGAGAUAUUUUCAAGCAAAGAACCGAUGAAGUAUAGACAAGAAAAGGUUACUUACGUUUACUGAGAUGUGGUUGAAAGCCCUAGUUCUUUUCGUCGAAUUUGUGAAGACAUGACCUGAGAUGGAAGGAUAUGGAAACGGUAGAGAGAGAGAGAGAGAGAGAGAGAGAGAGAAGAAGGCAAGUGAGGAAGGAACGAAGGGGCGUCGAUAACUAGGGUAAGGCGGCAGUCGGGACGGGUAAGGAAGGAGCAUCGAUAAGAUAAUUAGGGCAAGAGGGAAACAACCAUCGAAAUCGACAAUGCCGUCUCUAAAAUUGACCGGAAAGCACCUCCAUUCAUCAUCACCGGCAGAUCCAUCCCAGUCUCCCUUAUUUCCAUCACUUCUCACAAUAGAGAAAAAAGAGGGGAGAGUCGAUGCAAAAAAAAAGGUAGAAAAGAAAGGCGACUUUUCAAAAAUUUAGGGUUUUGUUUUCCCCCGUUAUCUUCUCAAGGCGCGUUUCACUAAAAUUAUAAAGCGACACCGUCAGAAGACGCGCGUUUAACUUAAAGCGCCCUCCGUGUUUUUAAUUUUUUUUAUUGAGACACUAAUUUAAGGGCACGCAAAAAUGCGUGCCCUCUAUCCUUCAAAUUUUGGAAGGCUGACAUUAUUUUUAAGGGCACAUAAAAAUGCGUAUCGUAAAUUAGCGAGUGUCAUUGUUUGCGCGUCAUUAAAGGGUAUUUUUCUUGUAGUGUUUUUAUAUAGAAUUAAAUAUUCAUUAAAAAACUUACCAACUUUUUCCAUCUUCACAAUAUAAAAAAAAGGAAAAAAGAAGAAACAUAUGCUCACCUUAUGUGUAUUAGUGACAACAUAGGAUUCGAUGAAGAGAAGUGUAAUCAAAACUGAUCAUCUGCACUAAAAAUGUAAUUUGCUCAUGGUAAUAACUUAAAGAAAUUCAACCUUAUGAGUUGUUUCAAGACUCAAACCAAUAAAAGACAGUAGUAGUACCUUAAAUGGCUGCCAAUUUAAAAGUAAUUGGCAUUUCAAGGGAAAACGUCUAAUUAACUCCAUUUUUUGAGUGGAUGAAAGAAGAUAACUACAUCAAAUAAUCCAAUACAAGUAAGAGUGAAUAACGUUUUAACCAUUUUAUUCAUAUGAAAUUUUAGUCCAGGUUAAAUAGAUGUGAUAUUACAAGAACGAUAUUAUUAUGAACGUGAUAAUAUAAAAGUAGAACACUUCUAGUCUUCAUAUUACCUCUUACUACCAAAAUAAUCAUUGUACCUAAAAAAAUAUCAUACAAAUAAGGAAUUUAUUUGUAAAAGAGGACAUACCUUGCCAAAUAUACAGACAAUUCAUAAACAACAAGUAAUAUGUCCAAGUAAUUUACUGAUAGAUUGCACUUUGGCGACCAAAACUGAAAUCAACAUGAAUGUGGUCAAAAUAAAGCAAUGAAAGCUAAGCAAUGUAUGAUUUUGUUUUUUUUUUUUUAAUUUCAUGCAAAUAAAGAUUAAUGUAUUAAUAAACCAAAUUUUUACGUACUUGCAUUUCUUCUGCUUGCUGCCCAACUGCUUCCUUCUUUAAAGACAAAAGCAAAUAUUUAAUAGUAUUUAUUAGCACUUAUAGUUAAUUAUUGGCAAUUAAAAAUUUGAAACAGUGUUUGUGAGGGUUACAUUACAUUGAAUCGGUGUUAUUGUAUCUAACAGAAAGGGUGGGUUGUUGAAAUCAAAGAGUCUUGUUUUUCCCUGAUGCAAUGAGGUCUACCCUUCCUAUAAAACAAUAAGAUUGAAUUAAAACUUAAGUAAAAUAAAUAAAUUAAUAAAAGAAUCAAUAUUAAUAUUACAUUAUCAGCAACAUUGACAUCAACUUUGCAUUUGAUGAGCAACUUAACCGUUUGCAUGAGACUCACUUAAAUAGCAUAAUGAAGUGGAAUANACGGACACUACUGCUAAGGGGAUUCCUCAGCAAUAAAUGUCCUAAAGGCAACCAUGUGGGGGAUGGAGUACACCGGUGAACACAUCGUUCACAAACACCUACAGGUUGCGAGCCUGCUAGUGUUCCACUGGACUGUCUAGAAGAGUCCGUGGUCGUCAUCCAUACUCCGCUAGAUGACAGAAUCAACAACAUCAACAUCGAGGCCUCUCAUCAUUUUAUCACACAUCACCUAUUACAUCUACCCAUGUUUUACCCCAACAUUUUCGUAGAUAUAAAAUACAUAUACAGUUUAAAUCAUUGAAAACAUGUAUAACAAUGUUCAUCUAGCAUAGAUAGCAGGUAUUCAGAUAAUAUGCACACAUAGCACGUAAUUUAUAUAAAAUACUUCAUAUCUAUGUGUAAGCUGAAAGUAACUAUGCACUCACCUGAAAGGUGGUGACUCAGCACUCGGACAUCGCUUCGAUACUCUCAAAACAAUUUUCCUUCGAUAAAACCUAGUACCAAUACCACUAGGGUUUAGUCUAACGAUAACCGCGACAAAUUAAUUAGUCUGACUAUUAUCAUUAUUAUAUAAGCAUUAAUAACACUCAAUAUAACUCAUAAUAAUAGCCCAAAUAAUUAUUUCAAGGACCUAAUAACAUUCCUAUAAUUAUUUGAAAGCUAUAUUAAAAAUUGUGUAAGCGUAGCUCACUUAUAGCAGAUUUUAAUGAAAACCGGAACUUUAUUUGGAGCAACGUUUCGAAACCGAAAGGCUCUUUUUCUCGGGACUCCGGGAGCCUCGGGGCUUCCCUCGGGAGCUAGGGGGUUUAUCUAGGGUUUAGGGGUGGUUUGGGGUCUUAGAGAGAGAAAGAAACUAGAGAGAGAAUGGAAUUUGGAGUGAAAAAUGAGUGAAAAGCUUGGACCCUUCGCAUGCCUUUUAUAGGCGCCUGAUCUCGGAAUUACGCUGGGCGUACUCCUUGGAUAAGACUUCCAGCUGGCUUCUCACGUGGACUGACCUCGGAGUGGAUAAGAAGCGAAGGUACGCAGGGCAUAUAGACUUUGGACGUUGGGCGUAAUGCGAGGCAACGUGUCAUCAUCCGAAGCGAGGACCGUGGGCCGCAAGCGACGGCUGUGAUCUUGCCACGUCAUCGAUCCAUGCAUCAGGUUUGCAAAUUCACUUCCCAACUUCUAAAAAUCAUAACUUUCACAUAUGAGCUCCUUUUUCGACGUUCUUUAUAUCCACGCGAAGGUGGGAACGUACUCAACAAUUUUCGUUUAGAUUCCAUCGGCUAAUUUUGACUCGAUUUUAAAUUUUAUAUUAUUAACAGGCUGGGACAGGAUUGGUCCGUUAAUUCCUCAUAUCAUCUUCAUCCGACGUCCAUUUUCGCCCAUCUUUUUCCCAUUACGCUACUCUUAACGAGAUCUUCGAUUCUCGUUUAGGUCGUGUCGGCUAAAAAUCACUCGAUCUAAUAUUCGAAUUUUGGGCUGUUCACUGCUAAUCCGAAACUUCGAAAAAUCAUAACUUCUUCAUACGAAGUCAGAUUUGGGCGUUCUUUUUAUCGAUGUUCUUAGUUUAACAUAUUCUACGAAUUUCGUUUAGAUCUCUAAGGCUAAAUCUCGCUCUAUCAGAAAUUCACUAUUUACGCUUCCCGGUAUCGUGUCGGUUCUGUCGCGAAAUUUCGACGGGUCAUAACUUCUUCGUUAUAACUCGGAUUUCGGUGUUCUUUAUAUCCCCGGAAUCCUUGUUUCGACCACUAAAACAUUAUAUAAAGAUAUCGGGCUUAUCUCACACUUUAAUUUUGGCGCUUAUUUUUAUUCUUUAUUAAUUAUACAUUUAUAAUUACAUAAAUAAACACAUAAACACACAUAAUUCACAUAAUACGCAAAUAUUUCAUCUUUAUUACUUCAAAAAGAGUUACAAUAGUUGACCUAGACUAUUACAUCGACAAAUAUGCUUAGCCCUGAAACCCGAGCGUUACACAAAUAAAGAUUAAUCUUCCUAUUCUAAUAAAAAGAAUAGUUUUAUUUUCCUUUUGGCAUGUGUCAUUAUAUUAGGCCUCAUAACUAAUACAUGUUUUUUUUUGUCAUGUGUCACCUAAUUUUGUCUCCUAAUUAAUACAUGUCACUUAUCAACCUAUUUAUUCUCCAUUUCAAAUUCAAAUUUCAUAUUUUAAAUUUUUCACUCUAAUUAUAUUAAGUUAAUAAUAUUAGAAUAAAAAUUAAAAUAAAAUUAAUACAAAUUAUAAAGUGAUAUGAUUUUACAUAUUUUUGUAAAUCAAUGAUUAUAAUUUUAUAUAACUAAAAAAAUUCUCUUAAUUAAUAAUUUAUUUAAAAUAAGUGAUUAAUAAUUUUGAGAUUUUACUAUUAAAAUUUAAUUAAUUUUGUAACCAUGGUUCCCACGGGUUAUAAACUAGUGUAUUAAUAAACCAAAUUUUUACGUACUUGUAUUUCUUCUUCUUGCUGCCCAACUCCUUCCUUCUUUAAAGAAAAAAGCAAAUAUUUAAUAGUAUUUAUUAGCACUUAUAGUUAAUUGUUGGCAGUUAAAAAUGUCAAACAGUGUCUAUGAGGGUUACAUUACAUUGAAUCGGUGUUAUUGUAUCUAACAGAAAGAGUGGGCUGUUGAAAUCAAAGAGUCCUGUUUUUCCCGGAUGCAAUGGGGUCUAUACCCUUCCUAUAAAACAAUAAGAUUGAAUUAAAACUUAAGUAAAAUAAAUAAAUUAAUAAAAGAAUCAAUAUUAAUAUUACAUUAUCAGCAACAUUGACAUCAACUUUGCAUUUGAUGAGCAACUUAACCGUUUGCAUGAGACUCACUUAAAUAGCAUAAUGAAGUGGAAUAGCACCAUCCUAUGACAAGGGCAUUUUAGUAAUUUUGAGAAAAAAUAAAAGAAAGGAAUAAUGACAUGGAAAAUGGAGUUUGAAUGAGAAGGGUGGGUCUCACCAGACAUGAGGAGUUGCAAAAACACAUACUCUUUUUUUUUUAAAAGUGAUAUAUGAGGUUGUAAGCAUUAGAGAACUCUUUUGGACAAAUGUCAACCACUUUUCGUAAUUGAGUUUGACCCAUAUCAUUUUUAGAUAAGUUAUUUUAAAUUCCAGUAAAUUGCUGAUUUGGAACCAUUAUAUAUAAAAACAAUACCUUAUCAACAACAUCAAUCUCAAAUCCAUUUUGUAAAAGGUUAUCCAUGAAUUUAAUCUGCAUCUGAAUCUCUGAAGCAAUGGGGUUAGUAAAACUAAAAUACCAAGAAUAUUAACAAUAUUAACAGUAUAUUUGCUUACUAAUAAAUCAUCAAGUUUCAGUCACAUUAACAAAGAAAAUCUUCAUAUAAGUAUGACGUUUGUAAGUUGUAAGGAAGGCUAAGUUGUACCUUAUAUCAUUUCAUAAAGAAGUCUAACUAACCUUCACACUUACAUUAUAUCAAACAGUUGGUGUGUGUAAAUUGGAAGUAAAAAGAAACACGAAACUAAACUGCAAACAAAGUUGGGCCAAACCGUAACCUUUUCUUGUCAUCUCAGUGCGAAAAGAUGUCAAAAACUUUUUGUCAAUUGUAUCUGCAACUUUCACCCAUGUGAAUCUAUUGUUACUCCUAAUCGAACAUCUUCCUGUAAUCGCAGUGCUUACCUGUACAAAAAAUAAAAUCAACAAAAUAAGAUCAUUGAUCUUGAAUGAAGAAAGACGAAUGAAGUUGUCGAUUUAGGAGGUUCGGGAGAUGUUGAGAGUUGGAACGCAGGAACAGAGUGGUUUGCCACUUAUUUCAAUCGGUGGAACAGUUGGAGGCCAAACAACAGAAAUUCUAGACACAUAUACCCACACAUAGGAAAGGAAGCGGGGGUAUAGUUGCUUUCCUAUGGAACCGACUUUCGGCGAGAGAGAAGAAAGUAUGUAUCAAAUUGGGAAUAAAAAGACGGUAGUCAAUGGCGGUGGAAAAUUUUAUCACGCCAAUCAAUGACGGUGGAGAAUUUUAUUGGAGGAAAGGAGCGGCAGCGAGUCACAAAUGCAAAGAAACAAACAUAGUGUCAAAAGUCUAAAAAUAGAAAUGUUAGGUGGCCAAAAUGUUAAAGAGAGUAGGUAAAAAUGGAAAACUUUAGUGGAAAAUUUUCAAAUGGGCAAACUAUACUGUACUUAAGGCUCUCGGGAAUUAAGUAUAUAUAUAAUUACUCGCAUUGCACUUAAGAGUAAAAGACAAGUAAAAAAUAUGCCAAACACAAAGUAUGCAUAUGAAUGUUUAUCCGUGGGUGGAAACUCUCCACAAUUGCAUAGUCUAUUCUUCCAUGAACCCAUCUAAGAUAUAGAAGGAAUAUAGGACACCUACAUAACCAUAAUAAGAAAUAUACUUAAUACUAAUCACUAAGUGAUAUGCAAAUUAGGUUACUACACUUAAUUAAUUAUUCUUAAACAUGUUUUACUUAUCCCUAAGGCAAUAAUGGAUGUGAUUAGAUGCCUUCUUAAGGCCCAAAGAUCAAAUUAUAAGUCUUUUAGGUUUGGAACUUGUGGUAAUUAUCCAGAUCUAUUAUCCAUUCGAACUUGCGGUAAACAUUAAAAUUCCUCAUGCUACAUUGUUUCUUCCUAAUAAUGAAAGUUAUAAUUUGUUUAAUUGAAAUGAAUGUAAAUAUCUCAACUUAUUGGUUAUUAUUUUACAGUUCUAGGAGGUGUAAUGUUAAAGCAAACAAUUGCAGACCCUAAAAGAGAAUCAUGGUAAGAUUUUCUAUCUUACAAGAUUUAGUAAGUGCAAAUAGGGUAAUUGUUGUCAUCUAGUUUGGAAUGACGGUGAUUUCUUGUCGCUCACUCCACCCUAAGAAACUUAACCUAAGAUACUAAAACACAUACAUAAUGUAUAACCACACAUAAACUAAAUGUUUUAGGCUAUGUUUGGCGUACUAGCUGAAAAGUUGGUUGUUAGCUGAAAAGCUAGUUGUUAAAUAAAAAUCUAGCUGAUAGCUGAAAUAAAAAAUAACGUUGGGUAAAACUAGUUGAAAUAUAUAAAAUUACAUAAAAGGACAUGUAAGAAUAUGUGUUUGUAUAAUUAAUUAAGGGGUGUAUUUGGAAAAUUUAAAAAAGCUCCUAAGAAGCUAGUCUAAGUAACUUUUCAAAAAACUAGCUUAUAAGCUACUUUUUGGCUUACCAAAUACGAAAACAUAAAAAAACUCAAAAAAUAAACUAGCUUAUCAGCUAGCUGUGGCACGCCAAACAUAACCUUACUGUUAAAUCUUACCUUGAAAUGGAAGUGAAAACCUCUUAAAGCUGGUGAAUUUGACUCGUGAAAACUCCAAAUUACUACUACUGUUUGCGGUCAACUUCCUGUUGUUUGUUUAUUGACGAGUCCGAUAUGAAAAUAGGGUAAUCGUUUUGAUAGGUAUUAGCAAAGAUGGCUAGUGUUUAUGGAGAGAGCUUAAUAUUAAAAUCGUCUGUCUUUGUAACAUUUGGACUUAAAAUGAUUCCAACAAUUUAGGAGAGGGACAAUAAGGUUUUUUUUCUCUACUUAUAAUGAUUUUAAAUAUAAAAAAAUAUAAAAAAUAUAUUUAAAAAUGUUUUUUAAAGGAAAAUUUGAUAUUUUGAAAGCUUAAUCAAUGUAAGUAUGAAAUUUAUAAAUUUGAUUGGAACAAAUACGAUAUUUUGAUAUUUAAUAAGGAUAUAUAUAAAAUUUCUCUUAAAAUAAUUAUCUUACUUUUGUAAGGACCGAAAUGUAGUUUUUCAAAGUUUAGAGACAAAAGAAAACCUUUCGUUUAAAUAUUUGUCUAAACUAGCAGGAUCAUGACAUGUAUGUAUCGGAGAUGAUUUUUAAUCUUAUUUUUUCAUACCAUUUAUGUAAUGCUGUCAUAUAUAUUUAUGUAAUUUUUCUAUUAGGCUAUAGGAAGUGAGAGAUGUUAAAGGAUGUGUUAAGGUCCUAAGGAUGCUACACUACUCACUACCUUGCAAUAAAGAGAGUGCUAAGACGGAAUUGUUAUGGAUGCGAGAGAGGAGUGAGAAAAUAUGAAAAGUUGUUGUGAUUGGUUGAUUUGUAUUUUUUUAUAUAUUUUAAUUUUUUUUCUCCAAAAUUAAACCUAUUAAAUUGUUACACUUCCAUUCCCUACAUUUUUUGUGUUACUACUCUCUCCAGGCUUAUAGCGACAACAUUAUUGUUAGGUUGUUUUACACCAAAGACCAUUUAUGUAAUUUUGCUAUUACACAGGGACAAAUUCUAAUAACUUUGUUUUAUACAUGGGCCAUUCCUGUAGUUUUAUUUUACACAAGAACAAUUUUUGUAAUUUCACUAUUAGACAUGGACUAUUUCUAUAAUUUUGUCAUACUUAAGGACCAUUAUAUAUAUUUUUUACAACAUGGACCAUUUAUAUAAUUUUCUCAUACCCAAAUUUCUCCUUUACCUUGAACAAUCUAAUCAUUUCCCCUGUAAUAAACACAAAAUAACUAAAUAAAAUACAUUAAAAUUUAGAAUCUAACGUUUUUGAUAUGUAAAUACACCAAGAAUCAAGAGUUUGGCCACAGAAAAGAACAUGAAUAUUAGUCAAUCAGUAAAACCAAAGUUUCUAGAGUAUACAUGUAAUACAACAAGCGUACUAUCAUAAUAAGUAGGGCACAGAAAUGAGUUACAAUUUUUUCAAGAGCAAAGACUGAUUCACAAAAGCAUCACUUACCAGCUAAACAAGUAAAAUUAAAACGACUUCUGCAGAAAGAAAGUCAAAGAAAUUUUGUUAAAAAAACAAAAUGCAUGAAUUUUAGGAUAAAAUUAGUGAAAGUGUUGACAACGAAUUUACGUGUAAUUGUUGUUGUAUGAUGCAUAAGAACACAUAGAAGAUAAGCUGUUCAAGGGAAAUCGGUAGAGUGUUUGAGAUCGAUGGCAUAUGUAGAAGAGAGUUAUUAAAGCGAAUCUAAAAGAGAAAGUUGAAAAGUUUGCUUUCUGAAAAAGUUGUAUCAAAACAUAUUUAGGGUGUGGAUCUAGAAAAGAGUAAUAAAAAGAAGUUAUAAUAUCAAUCAUCAAUUUAUUGUAUAAAAUAUCUGUUCUGACUUUUUAUAAAUAAAAGUUUGUUACAGUUGUUAAACUCCAGUUCCUGAGUUUAUAUAAAUGGUAGAUGAACUGGAAAAGGGUAUAUAAAAAAGGUGAUAUAUGCAAGGGCGCUUUGAUAAUUUGUUUCAGGCCGAAAAAAGAGUUAAACGCCGUUGCCGGGGAUCGAACCCGGGUCACCCGCGUGACAGGCGGGAAUACUUACCACUAUACUACAACGACCUAUUUGCUAAUCGUCUAUAGUUAUCGAUAAUUAUUUAUUACCUAACAUAUUAACAAACAUUUUAUACAAUUGAUCAGUAUUUUAUUUUCCUUAUAAUAUUAAGUCAAACGUUAUGCAUUCUGAAGUAAUAAAUUGAGUAUUAUGAGUAGGGAUGUAAGCGAGCUUUGAUUUAUUUAAUUAUACACAUAAAUAUCAUGGUUGGUUAAAAGAUAUGUGGUUUUUAUAUAUUUUCUUAAACGUUACUCCAAAUUACAAUUAUACCAAAAUUGUUUAUUAAUUCCAGUGUACCUUUUCGGAACGAUCUCAAAUCUGGUUGAGGUAGAUAAGUUUAGACACUGAAAUACUGAAUGCUCAUAUUAGAGCAUCAAUAUACCUAAAUACUUAACAAGUUUUUUGUAAUUUUAUUAAUAUUUUAUAAAACUUACUUAUGCAUGUUACUAGCAUAAAUAUAUAGAAUGAAUGUAAAACUAUCUUCAUCACCAACUUAAUCCAAUACAAUCUUCUAUUUAAAAUGACUUGUAAUUUCCAUGUAAGCUAAAAAAUGAAUUGAUAAAUCAAUGACAUUUCUUUUAAAGCCACUUAGGCUAGGUCACUAUGAACCGAAUGCGCAUUAGUGUUUCAUUCUUGAAUUCCAUUUAAUAUUAUGGAGAAUUUCAUAUAUGCCUUUGCUUAACAUCUAAAUAUCGUAUAUGUCCGACCUAAAUUUUAAAUAUCGUAUUUACCCUUCUUAAUGUUUUUUUAAUAUGAUACAUAGCCAAUUGUAUUUUUUAGAUAAUUUUUAUUGAUUUAAAAUUCUUUCUUAUAAUCUUAAAUCAUUAUAAUUAAAAAUACAUUUUGAAUGGACAAUAUUGCCCUUGGUGCUUACUACUUCAGAUCAUGUUGCCCAGUCGAUCACACCUUGUUACGAUCAACCUGUUGAUACUUCCAAUCGCUGCUUCUACCCCUGUGUCGCACACGCUCACACAUCAGGUAAAUAAAAUGUGACUAUUCCUAAUUUCCCUUUCUUCAAUUUCGUGUGAUAUUCUUUGAUUUGUUCAUGUUAAUGUGUUGUUGACGUCAAAGCAUUGUACAUUCAAUUACAUCACCAAUAUAAGCUUGAAUUUUUAGUAACAAAACCAACCAAAGCUCCAUAACAUCAAAAGUAAAACAUAACAGCAAUGAAUUGAAACUGUUGAAGGGUAAUCUAGGCAGUAAGUUUCUUGCAUUAAUUCAUAUUGAUCCAACAGAAACAAACAUUAGAAUUGAACUUUCACAAGCAAACCCGAAUUAUACAUCUACUCUCAAGAAUAGCCAGUACCAAAACCAAAACAUUUUGAAGAUGAGAACUAAAAUUCCAAAUCGAUUUACCCCAAAAAAUCCAAACAAUUUACCCCAAAAAUCAGAAUCGAUUAACCCCAAAUAUCACUUUCAGAUGAACAAUUUCAAACAAGCAAAAUCGAUUUACCCCUCAAUCAAUGCUAUGAACGAAGAACAUUUGCACCAGAAUGAAGAGUGUGUGCGUCGGAUGUGUGUAGAAGGCGUCAACCAGAUCAGAAGGGGGAAUAUGAGGCUGCAUGUAAGUUUUAAGAGGUUGCGAUUGGGAAGAAGCCACGUGCGAGUGUGUGCGACACCGAGGGGAGAAGCAGCGAUCGGAAUUCAGAAGUAUCAAAGGAGCAUGGUCGAUUGUGAUGGACUGGGCAACGUGAUCUGAGGUAGUAAGCACCAAGGGCAAUAUUGUCCAUUCAAAAUGUCUUUUUAAUUAUAAUUAUUUAAGAUUAUAAAAAAGAAUUAUAAAUCAAUAAAAAUUAUCAAAAAAAUACAUUUGGGUAUAUAUGAUAUUAAAAAACAUUGAGAAGGAUAAAUACGAUAUUUAAAGCUUAGGUCAGGCAUAUACGUUGUUUAGAUGUUUAGCAAGGAUAUAUAUAAAAUUCUACCUUAAUAUUAUCUUAAUCAACAAUUCAAAUUUUUGAAAAAACUUCUUGGUAGAUUUGGCAAAAGCAGUCUUGCGGUCUCAUUGCCUACUAAAAACCGCAUCAGGAUGACCAAGAAUCAUGUAGGCACAUACUAUAUUCUCACUUGGUACCUUGAUAAACUGCAAAGACAAAUGAUACCCCGAUGAUAUAUUUGGAGAGUGUUUGAUUGGUUUGAUAAAUCAAAACCUUGAGUAAACAACAACAAUGGAGGCUAGUAAAAAAUUUCAGUCAAAUUUAGAUUAUAUUCAAUCAAAGCCUUGAAAAAUAAACAACCAGGUAUUGCAGGAUAUUGAAUGAAUAAUGUAAGGGAAUAUACAAAGAGAAUGAAUAUUGUUGAAAGUAAUAAAGGUUCAAUCUCAUAUUUAUUAACUUAAAAUGUCAGGUUUUGAUAAUAAGGGGUGAAAGUUGGUCAAGAUAUAUUUUGUUGGGUGUUAAGUGAAAUUGCAGGGAAAACACGCGAGUCAGAAGAUGGAUCGGUUUUACGGGUUUGCUCCAUAUCCAAGUAUCCGUAGUAUAUAUGCUAAGGAAGAGUCCUAUUCAUCAGAUCUUAUCACUUCCAGAUCCAGAGAUAGGGUUUCUUGUUUAGGGUUUUCAUCUAAUACUCUCGUUUCUUUUUGAUAUUGUUUUGUUCAUCUGUUAUGUUAAUGAGUUAUUGUUCUAUUGUGUUAAGUAUAGUGUUUCAGAUGAAUAGAUUUGUAUUGACUGUUUAGAUUAGGGUUGAGUGAUAAAUCGAGAGAGUAGAAUAGGUUCUUUGUAGUGAGGUUUCGUUUGUAAGUUUGUGAAAACCUUCUGUUUCUUAAUCCUUAAAUGAUAUAAGAAAUGAAGAUGUUGGGAAAUCUAUAUUGUCUAUUUUCAACAAAUAUGAAUAUGGGAUAAUGACAUAUAUGAUUCUUGAUUGAUAAAUGCAAACUGAUUACAUGGAAUGACACUCCUAUUUAUACUAUUUAGGUGCAUAACGGACAAAUGAGACAACAAGGACAAAUACAGACUACAUAGCAACCGCCUGACAAUGCGUCGCUGUUGAUCUUGUCUCCAACAACUAUUACAUAGAACAAGAAAAAUAAAACAAGAAAAAAUAGUACAAGUCUUCAUUUCACCUGACAUUCUCAUUCCUUCGGAAUACUCAACACCUCGGACACACUUGAACUCUGGAUACAUAUCAAUCUCGGAUAGUUUAAGGGCCACUUUAUUGAACUUACAACAACCUUAAAGGUGAAGCUACAUGUUUAAGAAGGUGAUCAGUGUCAUAUUGUCCUCUUGACCAUGGAAAUUAAUGCUAGAUGAUGUGUCGUUUAUGGUUUUGUAACUAAUCUCCAUCCUAAAAAGUAAAGAUUUUGUAGUCUGAAGUGUAGAGGGUGUUUCAAUAAGAAGUGGAAUUUCAAAGAUGUGUACAAUGUAAUUAUGCAACAACAUAUACCUAUCUUUAGCAUUUAUAUUUGUUUUUUAUUCAACUGUAACAACCCUCUCCGACACGUAUCACAAUAUUUUCCGCUUUGGGUUCCCGAUACGAAAACUUCCCAGGGGGUCACCCAUCUAGGAAUUGUUCUCGCCCGGUCAUGCUUAACCACAUAGUUCUUAUGAGAUAUGCUGUGACAUCCCUAAUUUCACGAUAAAAAAGGACCGAUUUGUUUAUGCUUUGUUUUUAAAAUUAGAGUAAUCGUUUAAAGAAAACUAUUGCGGAAUUUGUUCCCAAAACAAAAUAUGAUAAAAUUUUAUCAAAGCAUUUCUUAAAGAAAAGUAUUUUCAUUAUAUAACAAAAUCUCGGGAUGUCAUGUUCCGAUACAGACACAUAAGCAUAAACAGAACUUACAUUUAUUUACACUAAUGAUUUACAUAUCCUUUAAUCCCUCAGUGAAAUAUGUCUUCGUAUUGAUACCCGUGAUACAAAGAUAACUGAGUGGGUCAGGCUUGGUGUCACACCUCAAAACCAUAGAACGGCGGAAACGUUCUGGGGCGGAGGACGUAAUGUACAGUAUCACAACAGUGAAUAGUAGUAAACAAGUAACAACAUCAUCCAUUGUAUUAAUAGUAUAAUUGUAAUACAAGAGUGUUCUUUCAUUGCAACAAGACACCAAAAUAUGUAAUCAAAAUAAAGACAAGUCUUGUUUGUGCUUCGUCUUCUCAAAACCUAGUCAUCGUACCUGUCUACUGGUGACCUGAGAAUGCAAGUUGUUUUGAAAGAGUUUACCAGCUUUAAAGCUGGUGAGAUCAUAAGUAUUUUAGUGUAUGGAUUUGUAAGAAUGUAUUUGUAAGAAUGUAUUUGUAAGUAUGUGAAGUAUAAGUAUGUAAAAGUUUUGAAACUCCUAGAAAACCCUAUGUUUCCUACUAAAAGUAGCCUUCUACCAAGGCAUCUAGUAUAUGUGUGUGUCUCUUGUAAGAGUGUGUAUUUUUCAAAAUCUGACUAUCAUUUAUCAAAAAUAUAGUUUUCGCAUUUCUGUAUAUUGUGUGAAACUCACAUGGUGAAUGCACUUGGAAAAUGAUAUAGUAAUGUAGUAUUGUAAUAAGUAACUACCACUGUACUAACUACCUUAAACUAAUUAUAAUUUAAAGUACCAUGUGAUUGGCAUGUAUCCUGCUACCGACUAUAGUACACGACAAUGUAAGAUGUCGGAGAAAAAUGACAUUUGGCACCCGUAGACUUACAAGUCCCACUGUAGCGAGCAGCAAGGUGUAGAAUAGUCAAUCCAGUAUAGAUCUAUACACAAACUCAUACGCUCCCCAAUUAAGGAGAUUCUGGAUACAAAAACGGUCAUGGAAGGUAGUGCCAUGCCCCAUUUAAUGGCUCACAUAACUGUAGUAAUGUAUAUGUAAUGUAUGCUAGUUGUAUUGUAUGUUCUCCCUCUGUCUAGCCUGUAUGUUCUCUCUGUAUAGUAUUGUAAUGUACUGUGUGUACUAGCUGUAAUGUGUGUUCUCUCUCUAUCUAGCAUGUAUAGUAAUCUACUGUGUGUACUAGCUGUAAUGUUUGCUCUCUCUCUCUCUCUCUCUCUCUCUCUCUCUCUCUCUCUCUCUCUACUAAANNNNNNNNNNNNNNNNNNNNNNNNNNNNNNNNNNNNNNNNNNNNNNNNNNNNNNNNNNNNNNNNNNNNNNNNNNNNNNNNNNNNNNNNNNNNNNNNNNNNNNNNNNNNNNNNGAGGGAGCAGAGACAUUUUGUGCUUUUGAAGGUUUUGAAGGAGGAAGGAAGUAGAUCCAGAAGAAGGGAAGCCAUCCAGGCAUUAUUGUGUUCUUCCAGCAGUUCCUUUGAGGUAUAGCCCGUUUCCCCUAUGAUUCUAUGCUUAGUACUUCAUUUAGGUCUUUCUUGGACAAUCCCCAAGCUUAUAUGUGCAUUAUAUGUCGUAAUAAGAUGUUUGGCCUCUGGAUCUAGGCAAGAUUGAGCUCCAGGAGCUCAGAUCUGUUAGCUUUAUGGCCCCAUGUUGCUUGUUCACCCUAGAUCUACCCUUUUGAGACAUUUUGAGCCCUAAAAUCCAUAUUGGUGAAUAUCCACANNNNNNNNNNNNNNNNNNNNNNNNNNNNNNNNNNNNNNNNNNNNNNNNNNNNNNNNNNNNNNNNNNNNNNNNNNNNNNNNNNNNNNNNNNNNNNNNNNNNNNNNNNNNNNNNNNNNNNNNNNNNNNNNNNNNNNNNNNNNNNNNNNNNNNNNNNNNNNNNNNNNNNNNNNNNNNNNNNNNNNNNNNNNNNNNNNNNNNNNNNNNNNNNNNNNNNNNNNNNNNNNNNNNNNNNNNNNNNNNNNNNNNNNNNNNNNNNNNNNNNNNNNNNNNNNNNNNNNNNNNNNNNNNNNNNNNNNNNNNNNNNNNNNNNNNNNNNNNNNNNNNNNNNNNNNNNNNNNNNNNNNNNNNNNNNNNNNNNNNNNNNNNNNNNNNNNNNNNNNNNNNNNNNNNNNNNNNNNNNNNNNNNNNNNNNNNNNNNNNNNNNNNNNNNNNNNNNNNNNNNNNNNNNNNNNNNNNNNNNNNNNNNNNNNNNNNNNNNNNNNNNNNNNNNNNNNNNNNNNNNNNNNNNNNNNNNNNNNNNNNNNNNNNNNNNNNNNNNNNNNNNNNNNNNNNNNNNNNNNNNNNNNNNNNNNNNNNNNNNNNNNNNNNNNNNNNNNNNNNNNNNNNNNNNNNNNNNNNNNNNNNNNNNNNNNNNNNNNNNNNNNNNNNNNNNNNNNNNNNNNNNNNNNNNNNNNNNNNNNNNNNNNNNNNNNNNNNNNNNNNNNNNNNNNNNNNNNNNNNNNNNNNNNNNNNNNNNNNNNNNNNNNNNNNNNNNNNNNNNNNNNNNNNNNNNNNNNNNNNNNNNNNNNNNNNNNNNNNNNNNNNNNNNNNNNNNNNNNNNNNNNNNNNNNNNNNNNNNNNNNNNNNNNNNNNNNNNNNNNNNNNNNNNNNNNNNNNNNNNNNNNNNNNNNNNNNNNNNNNNNNNNNNNNNNNNNNNNNNNNNNNNNNNNNNNNNNNNNNNNNNNNNNNNNNNNNNNNNNNNNNNNNNNNNNNNNNNNNNNNNNNNNNNNNNNNNNNNNNNNNNNNNNNNNNNNNNNNNNNNNNNNNNNNNNNNNNNNNNNNNNNNNNNNNNNNNNNNNNNNNNNNNNNNNNNNNNNNNNNNNNNNNNNNNNNNNNNNNNNNNNNNNNNNNNNNNNNNNNNNNNNNNNNNNNNNNNNNNNNNNNNNNNNNNNNNNNNNNNNNNNNNNNNNNNNNNNNNNNNNNNNNNNNNNNNNNNNNNNNNNNNNNNNNNNNNNNNNNNNNNNNNNNNNNNNNNNNNNNNNNNNNNNNNNNNNNNNNNNNNNNNNNNNNNNNNNNNNNNNNNNNNNNNNNNNNNNNNNNNNNNNNNNNNNNNNNNNNNNNNNNNNNNNNNNNNNNNNNNNNNNNNNNNNNNNNNNNNNNNNNNNNNNNCCCCAGAACGGCCGUACCGGGUAGUCAGGCACCCCAGAAUAGCCUGGCAGUAUGUAUGUUAUGUGUUUGUUUGGUAUGUGGUACGAUGGGGGAACUCACUAAGCUUUGUGCUUACGGUUUUCAGUUUUGGUUUCAGGUACCUCCUCAGCUAGGGGAAAGGAGCCGGCGCGGUAGCAGCAUGUCACACACACACUCUCCGGUUUCCGCAUUUACGAGCUUCACUGGGAUUUGUACUCUGAUAUUUUGAUUGAGUGUAUGAAUUGGCUUUUAGACAUGGUUCACUUUGUGUUAUGGUUUGAUCAAACAAUGUUUUUAGUUAUCAAUAUUUUCUAAAGUAAUGUUUUAAAACAAAAAUUUUGGUCGUGAAAAUUGGGUCGUUACAAAUGUGCUAGCUGUAAUGUAUGUUCUCCCUCUGUCUAGCAUGUAUUGUAAUGUACUGUGCGUGCUAGCUGUAUUGUGUGUUCUCUUCCUAUCUAACAAGUAUUGACUCAUGUAUGAACUGACUCUUUGUAUGAUUCAUUGUUCUAGUAAUAGUAUUAGUAACUUCCUAAACUACGCCCAUCGUAGUUUACCAGUAAUAUGACUUGUAUGUAUGAACAUGAAUGUAUACCCUUGCUACCCAAGGGUAUUGAAUUGAAUGAUAGAACUUUUAUGUCUAUAUAUGUAUACAUAAUAUAUAACUAAUAUUUAGACGACCUUCGGACGAAUAACCGAUGCCCUAAAGCCACAUCCCAACGAGGAAAAGGAGAUAAAGCGAGCUAGUCUUCCUAAGUCCUUUAGGCAUUACUUAUGUAACUAUACAUACGUAGGCAUGCAUUCGACAAUAUAAAAGUAUAAAAAGAGUUUAAGUAAAAGUAUUUGACAAGCAAAAGAGUUUGUAAAAUAGUUUGAAGCAAAACAGUUUGAUAACACAGUUUGAAAAGUAAGAAAACCACUUGUUUGAUAGUUAUUAAUCACAUGUGAUCGAUAUAAUAACUAUAAUUGUUCAACUUGUAUCCCCCCCCCCAUAAAAGUAUUUAAAAACAUUUAAAAGGUUAAAUAAGGGGUAUGAACUCACUUGUAGUGAGUGGUUUGGAUGAACAGAUUGUAUAGAAUUGCUAAGUGCCAAGUGAAGACUUGAGCACACACGCGGAUCCUAUUUAACAUAUAAUGAUACAUAUAUGAAUAUAAUUAGUGCUAAUAACAACUAAUUAUUGAAUUUAAACCACCUUAGGGGCUAGUAAACACUUAUUUAGAAGUUUUACAACCAUAUAUGAUUGUAUAUAAGGGGUAUUUGGCUAUACAAGGGAGUGUAUGGUCAAAAUACACACUAUUUGUGUGUGUGUGGCCAGGGGGGGUGUGCGGCCGCACACUCCCUAUGGAAUGUGUCAAAACGUAAUUUAAGGCUUUAGGACCCAUCUAGGAAGGUUUCUUACUUCAUGCUUUAGCCUUAUAUGAAGUUUAUUACCGGUUUUGGACCUAAAAAGGGUGUGUGCGGCCAGCAUGAUGUGUGCGGCCGCACACCCUUUAUGAACAUGAUAAAAUCAUGUUUUUCUAGCAUAUCAUCAAGUGUUCUUAGCAUAUAACAAGUUAUGAUAAGUGUAUACACGUUAUAGAGGCUUGUAAGGGUGAUUUAAGGUCCAAAACUAGUGUGUGUUCUUGGUGUUCUUCGUGUUCUUGACUAAAAAUGGAUGUUUUCAAGGAUCAAACCAAAGGAAAAGGCUAGUUAAGGUCUUUUAUUAGCUAAACUAAGAAGGAAUCACUCACUCGAUUGAAGAUUGGAGUGAAACUUUGGAUGAUACUUGAGAGAAAACGUGUUCUAGCUUUGAAGAAGUGAAAAAGUGAUAAAAAAUGACAAGUGUAGUAUAUAUAUGGGAGAGUGUGCGGCUGGGGAUGGGGGUGCGGCCGCACACACCUUGUUUGGUGUGUUUGGCCCGAUUUUGUGAUGCUACACACUUACUAACCCAUUCUACGACUCAUAUCUUAAUUAUACUAAGUCUCAAGCACUCUUAUAGACCCAAAACUUCAUUAUAAACCAGCAAAACGAGGCUAACUUAGAUAAAAAUGAAGAAUGUAUAAGUGAGAAAUUUCGGGUUGUCACAUAGGGAGCCUGGUGAGCAUAUAGGGUUUUCAACCCACAAUAAUACAUUUAUUAUUCAAUCAUCAAACAAUCAACCCAAAUACCCAUCCCCAUAUCUCCUUUAUUUCUUAAGGGUUUACCCUAAGAACCAAUUAUCCUUCAUUUAUUCAUUCCUAAGGAUUUACCUAAGGAAUUGGCACAAAGUCCAUUGCUACCAAAGUUUAUCUAUCAAAUACUAAAUCCAUAGCUAUCAGGUGCUAACUCUAUAGUCACCAAGGUUUACUCAACAGAUACGAAGUCACAUCAUCACCAAGGUUUAUCAAAUAGGCAUGAAGUCGCAUCGUCACCAAAGCUUACUCAAUAGGCACGAAGUCGCAUCGUCACCAAGGCAUACUCAAUAGGCAUGAAGUCACAUCUGAUGGGUUUUGGCCAUAUGAACAUUCCUAUGUGCACAUGCAAACCCUAAUGCUUGGAUCUAGGUUUCUCUAAUUAAACAUGCUUUGAAUCCAAGACUUCUAAUGACUAAUUAGGUAUAAGAACAAUACAAAAUCAGAUCUAGAAGUUUACCUUUGAAUCUCUUGUUUGAUCUUGUUGUCUUGGAGCUCUAGAGUCACAAUUGUCACUCCUCUAAUGGCUUACAAACACCAACUAGCAAGGAGGAUGAUUUGAGAUAGAGGAGAGGGAUUAGAAUUCGGCCAGGGUUUCUUUGCUUUAGCAGAGGUGCCGAUUUCCCUUGCCCUAGGGGUCUAUUUAUACUUAUAAGACUCCUGGGUUUCACCCUUAAACCCUAGUUAAAUAAUCUUUCCUUAAAACAAUCCAAAUCCUUACCAAAGAUAAGCCUUGGACGAAUUUGAGGCUAUCCCAAGCCCUAGAAUUCGUCCAACCUCUAUCCCUUAAGGAUUUACAGCCCAAAGUGCAACUAUCAAACAAUUGACAGUUUAUACCCUCUUAUUUAAUUAAUCUCUUUAAGUCACCAAAUUAAUACUAAUUAAUCUAUGACUUAUAUUAAUCAAAUAACAAUAUUAUUAUUCCUUAUAUUAUUCUCAUAAUAUAUUAAUAAUAUCUAUUCUCUCAUAAUAAAUCAUCCUGUCAAGUUGCUAUGGUGAAGGCAACCUAAAAGGACCAUGCACAAUCGAGUCAAAUACUUGCCUAAUAUAGUUGCAGCCUUAGACACUAUUCCAACAACAUCAUCACCAAGGCUUACUCAAUAGGCACGAAGUCGCAUCGUCACCAACUAUUCCAUCUACCCAUGUUCUACCCAACAUUUUUGUAGAUAUAAAUACAAAGUUACAAACACAGUUUAAAUCAUUUAACAACAGUAUAAAAACAUCAAUUCCAAGCCCAUCUCAAAUAGACAAAUAAUAUAUAACACAUAGCACGUAUUUCAUAGCUAAUACUUUAUAUUUAUGUGUUAAAAAAAAGUAACUAUACACUCACUUGAUCAGAAGAUGAUCGGACAGCACUACGGCUUGUAGAAGCAGUAUUUUUCGAUGAAACCGGGAGAUCUUCACAAAAACCGGGCUUCUCGCGGGCAGAGCUUCGGCUUGGAAAUUUCACUUCUCGGGAUCUUUGGGGCUUCGAGACUUGCUUCGCGGCUCGGAAAUGAUACCGGGGCUUCGGGGUAUCUCUUGCACGAAAAUCAAUGCAAAACGGGAUAGAGAGAAGAGAAAUUAGCAAAGAAACUCGGCUGCCCUCGCAAGGUAUUUAUAGGGGCUGAAACUGGGAUUACGCUGGGCGUAACUCGGAUAAGUCCGAUGACUCUCCCCCUUCGGAUAAUAUCGGAUUUUAUAUUUAAAUUAAAUAUUUUAAUUAUCUAAUAAACUUCAAAAAAUUGUAUCUUCUUCAUACGAGCUCCGUUUUUGACGUUCUUUAUAUCCCUGUGCAGGUGAGACUACGCUCUACAACUUUUGUUUAGACUCCAUCGGCUAAUUUUGACUUUAUUUUUAUUAUUUAUUUUUAGUAGAUUGCUUCGACAAAAAAUCACUCGAUCUCAAGUUCGAGUUUCGGGCUGCAUACUGCUAAACUGAAACUUAGAAAAAUUAUAACUUCCUCAUACGAAGUCAGAUUUGGGCGUUCUUUUUAUGCACACUCACGGUUUAACGAACUCUACGACUUUCGUUUAGAUCGCUAAGGCUAAAUAUCACUCUAAUGUAAAUUCACGAUUUACGUCACGCUGUGUCGUACCGGUUCUGUCGCGAAACUUCGACAAGUCAUAAAUUCUUCGUUAUAACUCGGAUUUCGGCGUUCUUUAUAUAUAUGGAAUCCUUGUACAUAUACUACAACUUAGUUAAGAUUACUCCUUCUAAAUAAUAUUCCAUUAAAAAGUUAUUUUGACGCUUAUCGUCUCUAAAUUGACUAGCCCUGAUCUACGGGCGUUACAAUUAUCUCCCCCUUAGGAUGAUUACGUCCCGGAAUCAUUAACGAAAUAGGGCUUGAACAAUGAUUCCACACGUUAACUUUCCAUCCUAAUUAAUAACCGUGAUGCUCAGUCUUUCAUCUGCUCUUCAUACUAUGUUGGACUUUAAAUCGUAACCUUCAAGUUACAAAAUAAAUCCUUAUUGUGGACUCCUUCUUCUUAGGAUAAAUACAUUCCUUUAUCUAUUGUAACAGACCGAUGGGUCGUGUCCCGAUGACCUCUCAUCGUAGUCGGACUCAAUUUAAUACAACCACUAGGGUCGGAAUAACCAUCAUCCUACUAGCCAUUACCGAAACAAGGGUAAUGACAUACUUGAAUAAAACGAAAUCAAUUACUAGCUUCCUGGUAACCUUGUGAAUUUCCCUGAUCCAAGUGCGAGUCUUGUGCUUCCGGUAGUAUAGAUAUCUACUACCAUUCACACCUACUCAUACUCGUCCCAAGUAUUGUCUUGCAGUCAACCAAGUCACCAUACAUAAAUCACAUAAUCAUUCAACACAUCAGAUAACAAAACCAGUGUUUAUAUUAUUUCUUGAAACGAUUACACGAGGGUUCAAGUUCACUCUAUACUAUGCCUCUAAUAGGCUACACUUCUUGAUACAGACUUUAUAUAUUGACAUGAAGUCUUCAUCUUUUAAUCCUCCCAUCGUUUUCUGCUUCGUCGAGGAGCAUGUGGAACACCCUUGGCUGUGGCGGUGCGUUUUUCUUUGGGCAGUCUCUAGAAAUAUGCCCUUCUUCGUUACAUCCAUAGCACACCUUCUUGUUAGUUGCACAUUUGUUGGCGAAAAUGCCCUGUCUUCCCACAUUUGUAACAGGUCGUCUCCUCGCUACACUUCCUGAUGUGUUUCUUUUUACACUUCUCACACCACUUAGCUUCAUCUCUUCCUCCAGAUUUCGAGAAUUUGGUUUCUUUGUUGAUAAUUGAAGAUCCUUCAUGUUUCCUUUUCUCUCCAACUUUAGCUCUCUCCAGACCCUUUUCUUUUAUUUGGGUCUCAACAGUUUUGGCUGCCCAGAUGGCGGCUUUCAGAGUGGCUGCUUGCUUGACUAUCGGACCAAAGUCCGCUGGUAAUCCAUUGGCAAACUUGUUGACCUUGGAAAUUUCAGCUUCAUUUUCUCCGUAAAGCUUGUAGCAUAUUGUAACGCCCGGGUUUCAGGGCUAAGCAUUUUUGUCAAUGUAAUAGUCUAGGUCAACUCUUGUAACUCUUUUUGAAGUAAUAAAGAUGAAAUAUUUGAGUAUUAUGUGAAUUAUAUGUGUUUAUUAUUUAAUUAUAAAUGUAUAAUUAAUAAAGAAUAAAAAUGAGCGUCAAAAUUAAAGUGUGAGAUAAUCCCGAUAUCUCUACAUAAAGUUGUAGAAUAUGUCUCAAGGUUUCCGUGCAUAUAAGGAACGCCGAAAUCCGAGUUAUAACGAAGAAGUUAUGACCCGUCGAAGUUUCACGACAGAACCGGCACGAUACCGGGAAGCGUGAAUAGUGAAUUUACGAUAGAGCGAGAUUUAGCCUUAGUGAUCUAAACGAAAGUCGUAGAAUAUGUUAAACUAAGAACAUCGAUAAAAAGAACGCCCAAAUCUGACUUCGUAUGAAGAAGUUAUGAGAUUUUAAACAGACCAAUCCUGUCCCGGCUUGUUAAAAAUAUAACUUUAAAAAUAAAGUCAAAAUUAGCCGACGGAGUCUAAACGAAAGUUGUAGAGUACGUCUUCACCUACGCGUGGAUAUAAAGAACGUCAAAAACGGAGUUCGUAUGAACGAGUUACAAAUUAUAAUAGCAUAUUUACGUAUUAAAAUAAAGUAUAAAUCAUGUAUACGUACACAUAUAUAUACAUAUGUAUAUAUCAUUAGAAAGGUAUCGACGAUGCGGUCAUUAUAAGACUAAUGUUGAGUUCUUUCGACAUUAGUUUAGUACAAAUAUCAUUAAAUCCAUUUAUAAUAGUAUUAUAGAGGGGUGUUUAGUUGUUUAUAUAACUAAAAGGUCAUUAAGUAAUUAUGGAGGGUAGUUUUUGAAAAUUCAAUUAGUAUAAAUAAGAGCCUUGGGCUCUCAUAUUUCUUGCACCAUUCUCUUGAUUCAAGAGUCUUUCUCUCCUUAUCCCCCGAGCAUUUCGGUCCCUCGUGAUUCGACUUCUCUUUCUGUAGCUUAGUAUAGUAAGGUGAGCGCUGAAGCGCUGCACGAAUCUUUCUUAGAAAGAUUCAGCGACGAAGUUCUGCCCCUGCAGAGCCCGACUCCUAGCUAAAACCCCCUUGUAAGUAAGUUAUGCUUACCUUAUUUUAAUAUAGCUUAUAUUUAAAAUUAGUAUUGUUAUUAUGAACUUAUAAUAAAUAUUUGAGCUAUUAUUAUAACUUAUAUAAGUGUCGUUAUAAUAUUUUUUUUAACUACUCGCGGUACGGGGAAUCUGGUUUAAAGGGCCGCAUAGGGUUGUUGGAUUUCAGAAGUGCUAUAUGCCAAAAUGGUCCUGCCCUCCGGUGUUUUAUGUCUGGCCCCUGUCUGUACAUAGUGGUUGGAAAAUAUUGUUUAACGCUUAUAUAAUAAUAAUAAUACUAAGACUAAUAGUUGGUCACGGUAAAUAUUAGACUAAAAUUUAGCGAUAAUAAUGCUAGGUUUCGUCGAAGGAAAAUAGAAUCGUUAGAAGCAAGCGCUGCCCGAUUUUGGAAUCAUCACCUUAACAAGUGAGUGCAUAGUUACUUUCAACUUACACAUAGAUAUGAAGUAUUUUAUAUAAAUUACGUGCUAUGUGUGCAUAUUAUCUGAAUACUUGCUAUCUAUGCUAGAUGAACGUUGUUAUACAUGUUUUCAAUGAUUUAAACUGUAUAUGUAUUUUAUAUCUACGAAAAUGUUGGGGUAAAACAUGGGUAGAUGCAAUAGGUGAUGUGUGAUAAAAUGAUGAGAGGCCUCGAUGUUGAUGUUGUUGAUUCUGUCAUCUAGCGGAGUAUGGAUGACGACCACGGACUCUUCUAGACAGUCCAGUGGAACACUAGCAGGCUCGCAACCUGUAGGUGUUUGUGAACGAUAUGUUCACCGGUGUACUCCAUCCCCCACAUGGUUGCCUUUAGGACAUUUAUUGCUGAGGAAUCCCCUUAGCAGUAGUGUCCGUCCCGAUGAUGAUCCUUAGGCUAGGUCCCUUAUGAUAGGUGUUUAGGGACGUAAAGUGAGGAUAACGGGAACGGGUAAUCGGGUUAUUGUUGAUCGAUGAAAUUAAUAAACUUAUUUAUUGUGGGUUGAAAACCCUAUGUGCUCACCAAGCUCCCAAGCCUGACCCACUCAGUUUUAUGUAUUACAGGUAGUGGCGCAUGAGCAUAGGUGUGAUGUUUUGGACGAGGGAUUAUGGAUAUAGGCCUGUAGAUAUGAAAUAAUGUAGUAAGGCUUAUAUUGUACUGUUUAUGCUUUUGAUCUGUACGAACAUGACAUCCCGAGUCUUUUAAUGAAAUACAUUUCUAUGGAAAUGCUUUUGAUAAAUCUUUAUCAUAUUUUUGUUUUGGGACAAAUUCCGCAACACUUUCAUUUAAAAUGUAACUCUGAUUUUUAAACAAAGCAUAAACAAACCGGUCUUUUCUGGCCGUGAUUUUGGGGAUGUCACACAUAUUCAGUGACGCUUAAUUUUCCCUUCUUCAUAUUCUGGAACUCAUUGUUGAUUUCCAGAAGAUCCUGCUCAGAGCAGUAUUGCAUUUUCAAUUGCACCACGAACUCUUCCCAAGACAUCUUGCUAGCUUCCCCCUUUGGCAUUGAACCGGACAGUAACUUCCACCAGCUUAGUACUCCAGAUUUUAACAGAGGAAUUGUAAGAGAAGUCUUAUGUCUGUUACUACACUCGCAACUUUCAAACAUUGUCUCCAUCUCGGAGAUCCAGUCCAUGACUUGCACCGGUGUCGGGCUCCCAAAAAGACACGGUGGUUUGGAUGCCAUGAAAUCCUUGUACUUGCAUCCACGUCCUUCAUUUCCUCCAUCCUGUUUGUUUCGACGAACUAUUGGUGGGUUGGCUUGACCAACGGUCCCACUGUAGUUCCCUAUUUCCGAAUGCCCUCCAUUUACUUCGAGCUCUUCCACUUAAAUUGAUAGUUCUUCACGAUUCUGUCGAAGCAACCGUCUGAUCUACUCCAUUUGACGAUCCAACAUCGCCUGCAUCAUUUCUUGUACACCAGCCAUCGACAUUGGCUCAAGUGCUACAGCUACACCAGGUAUUUGCUCAAUCACUGGUGGUUAAUUCCUAUUCUCAUUUGCGUUUCCAACUCCGCUUCUAGUUCUUGCCAUUCUUGAUCUAUACACCGAAUAAGGUGAAUUUAGAUCCUCAUUCACGAUAGAUACAUAUAUCAUCCUUAUCACUCCGAAACGUUUACAUGCUAGUUCUAAUAUCGUAGACAUACGCUUAGAAUCUGUCACACCCUCGGCCGCCGGCGGAAACGGCGAGGUGCGCGACGUAAAUCAGUAAUCACAAUUAUUAAACAUACAUUGAACAAUACAAAUAUAAUCUUCUAUUAUUACCGAAAUAGAAAUUACAUUAACAAUGACUAUUGCUAAAUCGUGACACACGUCUGACAAUCCGGCGUUUACAAAGAUAUAAUAUAACUAACGGAGAGUCUUCUGAGCGAACACUCCCGACCUGCUAAAUAACCUGAGAAUACAUGCAUUAAAAUAUGUCAAAAAAAUUGUUGGUGAGUUCUACAGGUUUUUGACACAGAGUAUUUUUAUACCCAAAAGUGUUUAAUAAAAUUUAGCUGAUUGACCAACUUUUAUAAAUACAUACUUUUCUAUUAAAAGUAUAAAAUAAUUGGGUUAUAAUAUUGUGUUAUGUCUCAUUCAUAAAUACCCUUUGUUCAAAUUCAAAUGUAGAAAUGUUGGAAAAUACAUAUAAGUAAUCCAGACUUAUAUCAAAAUGUAUUUUUUUAUAUAAAUAUUUUGAAUAUCAAAUUAUAUAAAAAUAAGAAAUGUUACCCUUUGUGAGAACAUAAAAUAAUCAACUUUACUCUUGAAACAUUAUACAAGAAUUUGUAUCAUUUAUAUAAAAAAAAUUCAUAAGUAUUGAAUUUAUGAACUUUGUAAAAUCGUGUCAUGGCAAUAAUUAAGUAUUAUCUGACUUAAUUUGAAAACCGACACUUAGCCGGUGGGGUAAACUCCUCCCACAUAAAUAUUGUGUUUUCUUAUAAAAACAAAUGGUUUAUAUAAAUAACUUAUUUUAUGUAAAUUAAUAAAUCUUGUCGGAGCCGUGUCAUGAUAUUAAUUAAGUGUUAUCUGACUUAAUUUUUGGUACUGACACUUAUCGCUUUAAGUCACAAGCUAUCCCACUAAAUACAGUUUCUUUCAACUGGAAUGAGUGAACAUAAACCUCAUAUAAAUCCAAUAUCGAUUCUAUAUGGUAACGAAACAAAACUGGGAUUUUAUAAUGAAAUCAUAACCGAACUCAUGCACUGUACUUUAUUAAUGCACCGACACCAUAAUAAGCGCGCGUGCUAAAGUCAUUCACCUUGUUGUAACAUGUGGUAAUGUUUCGAUAAUGCUAACGUGAGCGCCAAAAUUCAUCUCGUCAGAUGUAGUUAUAGCUAGCAACUCCAGGCGGGCGGUCGUACCGUAUAAGAUCAAUAAUAUGACACUUACACCCGACGUUAGUCGUUCCCUCGAGGAUUAACGGUUAUAUAUUGGAGAGUUUCUACUAAGUAUUGAGAUCUUAGCUUUUGCGAAACCCGGAAUAGUUUAUAAUGGAAACUCAAACGUAUUGGAUAUGGUAUUCAUAAUAGGUAUGAUGAACCUAUAUGGAAUAUAUGAAGUAGGUAUGAUGAACCUACAUGGAAUAGGUAUGAUGAACCUAUACGAAAUACAUGGGGUAGGUAUGAUGAACCUACAUGGAAUAGGUAUGAUGAACCUAUACGGAAUACACGGGGUAGGUAUGAUGAACCUACAUAGAAUAGGUAUGAUGAACCUAUACGGAAUACAUGAGGUAGGUAUGAUGAACCUACAUAGAAUAGGUAUGAUGAACCUAUACUGAAUACAUGGGGUAGGUAUGAUGAACCUACAUAGAAUAGGUAUAAUGAACUUAUAUAAUCGAUUUUAAAUUCACUGGAUAUGUAACAUUAUUCACCGUUUAGGAAAACGAUAACUGAAAUUCUUAUAACUUCAAGAAUUUACCAUACUAGAUACAGUUUCGAUGUUGUAUUAGCACAAUAACUAAUUUUUGAAUUUAUCCAAGUUUGGAUCGACCGUAGAUCUACAUUCCCCAUAUUUUAUAUGAAUUAUGCGAUAAUAAUUUUAAUACAUUUAAUUUGGGAUAAAAAUAAAUUCUUUAAAUACAAUAAUCAACAAGUAUUUAUUUCGUAAAUAAAGAUUCUUAAGGUUUGAAGUCGAUCAUGUUAUUUAUUGUGAUAAGAAUACUUAGUAUAAUGAAGUUAUGUUGUUAUAAUUAAUAUAAAAAUAUAUUAAUAAAUUCUCACUUCAUUUGUACAUAACCUUAUAUAUGUAUUAAAAGUUAAAUAUUAUAAUUUUAACUAAUAAUCAUAUAAUUUCAUGAAUUUAAUCUUCCAUCCAUUAUGGCAAUAUACUUUCAUUUUAUACACGGAUAAUAUUUUUGGUCAUUAUUAUAUCGUUCCAUGCUUCUAUGAGAUACUUUAUCUUAUACAUGUAAAGUCAUCAUUUUUGCGACUCAUAAUAUUCACUUGUGUAAUUAUAGCAAUCUACUUAUAAUCUUGUGAUUUUUCUGAAUAAUUAUAUUCAUAUUUCUCAUAAAGUAUAAUUAUAUCAAUUUAUAACGAUCUACUUUAACUUAAUAGAUUUGCUAGUGAUUUAUCAUAUUUUUAGAUUGUUAUUUCAUAAACGUUUGGCCAAUAAAAAGUAUGAUGUUAUUUUGUAUAUAAAACUUGAAAAUCAUCAAACUUCGUAGAAACUCAAUUUCGAAGCGUGAUCCCGAUCCCGGUUCUUUUGGUGAAACUCUUCGUGAAUAACCGCAAAGUAACCGUUCUCGGACUUUUAAACGUUUCAGGGUUUAUUUGGUAAUGUUUUAAACUAAAGAGGCUCGUUUAUAAAGAGUUUAAAUCACUUGGGGCCUGCUUUGAAAAGGUUUAUGUUAAAGGACCAGUUUUAAUUUAAAUUUAUAAACACAGGGACUUGUUUUGCCAAAACCAUCAAGUGUACAAAAGGGAACGGUGAGGCUUCUUCACUUCGGGCCAGGAACAGGUGAAAACGAAGGCAGUCGAUGAGGACUCCGGUGAGGCUGAGCGAUCGUGAGGGUGGGCAGGCGUGAGCUCCGGCAACACUCGUGGGUUCAACCUCUGUCUCCGGCGAGAUCCUUCCCUGGUCCAUUGUUUGACAUCGGCGGUCCAAUCAAGGGAAUAGGAACGGACGAACGUAAACAGUCUAAGAGAUCGUCUGGUGGAUCAAAAUCGCGAGGAGAGGGAAGGAAGUUUCCGUCAGGAUUGGCGACCCUUCUUGGGUUUACAUCUGCAUCAUCGGCGGCAGUUGUGGUGGUCGCUGCCGUCUGCGGUGGCGAGGGAGGCUGCUCCGGCGGCUUCUCUUAGCUGCUCUCCUCCAUUCGUCGGCCGCUGAGCACGAAGGGGAAAGGUUCGAAUGGUCCAAUCGAUCGAACAAAGGCAGAUGUUCGGGGUUGCUGUUGGCUAGAUAAUCACAGGUAUUCCUUUUCUCUCCUUUUUGUUAUGACCGAAAAUCAGUGGAGUCUUGGUGGGUUUUGGGUUUGAUUCUUGACAGAGAAUGGAAGCAAGGAGAAGACAGGUGCAAUAGAAGAGGCAGCUGCCUCUUGUUCACUCACUCGAAAACAACCUCUCCUUGGGGUUGUUCUUCUUCUUGAUGGUGACAGCAAAAUUGAAUGUAAAGGAGGGUGUUUGGAGUUGGUUUAUCUCAUCAAAUGCAGGUGGAAAGAACCUAGAAUGGAUGGGGAAGCAACCUCGUAUGCCUCCCAGAGAAGAAAUGGAUAGAGGGGUUCAAGGUAGAGUGAAGAGGGACACGUGAUAUUAUGAAGAUAUGAACUGAUUUUUGGAAGAUUUUUCUGUACUUUGAAAUCCAGAAUUUGAUCUUGAGAGUGUAUUGCAUUAUUGGUUUAUAUUUGUGCAUGUGGGUGCAAAUCUGCUCAAUUUCUUUGUACUAGGUAUUGCUAUGAGAUUGAAUGUAUUUUUGGUUGUAUUUCUUUUUAUAUUCAUGUAUAUCUAUACUCAAGACUUAUAGAUACAUAUAUACUUGAUAAAUCUAGUGUAUGUGUAAUUGAAGUGUGCUUGUGCGUUUGAGGAAAUAAUCCAGAGGGAGGUAGAGAGUUAAAGAGAGAAGGGUAAUUUAAAUUUGAAGUUUGGCUGACUUUUAAAAGUCAAAGUCUU
rnacentral:lncRNA from 1 species